AUAAGUACUGCCGUUGAUUUUGGUAUAUGAGCACUAGUGUUUUCUGCUUACAACAAGCUAUGUAUUGUACAUAUGUCCAUUUUACCUGUGUAAAUAGUUUGUUUCAUACCCAGUAACAUGUUUCCUCAUAAUGAAUUAUUUGUGCCAUGUGAAUCAUUGCUGCUAUCCUGCUACUAAUGGAUACAAGGACGAAAUGCACAGUUUCCUGUCAAGUAGUGUUUGUUUGGUGACAGGAUGUUGUUUUUUACUUCCAAGUAUAAUGCUCCUUUCAUGUAGUGAUGAUACUACAUCUAUUUCAUUCCAUGUUUAUGCCUCUUCCAGAAAAUGUGCUGCACCUACAAUAAUCAAUCUAACUUAUCCAUUUUAUUUUAUAGGCCUUCGAGUACAAGAGGCUGCUGCUUGACUAUAACAGCGAACACGACCAACAAGUUCUGCCAGCGCGAGGCAAGCAACGACAUGCUCGGAUACCCCCACCUGUGAGUCGCGCUCCCCUUGCCCAGCCGCCCCUUCCCGCAAGUCUCUCUAGAUUUGGGAGCACUGCUAGAUCCUCUGCACUGGAAACGAUCAUAUAUUCAGAUGGUAUGUUAGUUUCCGUGGUUUUUGAUAGGCCCGGCAUCUGUUGGCGUUAACCAUUUCCUGUGUGGUUCUUCGUAGCCUUGUUGCUGUUGUUGACCCAAACCAGUUUGCGUGUGAUUGCUGGUACCUAUAUGUUAGUAUUGUUGCUGCCUACUAUGAGCUUGAAUGUCUUAGGCCCUGUUCGGAAUAAAGGGUAUUAAAACACAAGAAUUUAAGAAACAGUAGGAAUGAGAAAGGAGAAGCAGAGCAAAACUGCGGAUCUAGAAACGUAGGAAAGCUUGAGAAAAACGAGUUCGGGUCGUUGCAAAAACACAUAGGAGUCGGCUUAUGCAUGGGUUGUGAAGUAUAGAUUAAAAUAUAAUUUAUUCAGCAUGUAACGUACUAGCUGCUUUGGUCUCCAAGCUGCUGGCACACAAAGGUAUAUUUUAUUAGGAUGUACAGUGCAACUGUCAGCCUGCACUCAUUGUUAGCUCUGGGCUGCUUCGCUCUUACGCGAAGACACGAGCUCCGGUUGGAUUUUUAUUUUCCCGUGAAAGUUAGAGGAAUCUGAUGGUUGAAAUCCUGUGUGCCGAACGCUAGUUCUUAGCAGAUUUCCUCCGUUUUGGGUUCCUGUACCUUUUCUUUGAAAUUCCUGUAAACCGAACAGGGCCUUAGUAGAACAUCACCAGGUCAAUGUGUUAUAGUCAAGUUUUGGAAGUUUUGCCAUGCCAUGCUUAGUGUUUACUCAACUGUGGCAUUUGGGAAUUUAGGUGUAAUUUUUAUUCUCUUGAAUGGAUAUUUUUUUAUUGACAAUCAUUUAACUUCCACUGUAUCUUACUAAUAAUUUAUGUAGAUCAGCAUCUAAAGUUGUCGAGUGGCUGCUGCUGUGAAUGAAGAUCAGAAGAAGCCUAGAGAUGUGCACAAUAGUUUUAGUUGAUGUUGCCACCAUGUUUUGGUGCGUGUGUAUUUGUUUCCGAUUGUAUGUACACUUGAUGGAUCGUGCGGAUGUGUAUGAGCUAUUGUGAGUUUCAUUGAGGGAUUUCUAGAUUUGAUCAUUUAAUUGUGAGAAUUAUUGAUUGUUUGUUGUUGAAAUGUGUAAAAUUGAAAUAUGUGAAUGAAAAAUACUGAAUGUUCUAUUGGAUUGAAUAAUAUUUGGGCUCUAAAAAGGCUAUGGCCCAAACGACAGUGGACUGGAAUAUCGCGCAUUUACGAAAAAGGUAUAAAAAGGCUUAAUUAAAAGGACCGUGAAAUGGAUGAGGCCUAGAAGUAAAAAGGCCGAAUUGCUGGGCUUGGUCCAUGAAGCCGAUCAAAAAUUGAUAGAAAAAAUAUAUAAAAAGGCCGAAUUGUUGGGCUAGGCCCAUGUAGAAAAUCGAAUUGGACCGGGCUGAAUCUUGCGCCACAUCAGAUUGCCACGCUGGAUGCCUACGUGCCCUGGGGAGGUUGCUAGUGACCAAAACGCUACAGUACAUGUAUUUUGGUCAUAAACGUCUAUGACCAUUCCAGAAGAAAGGUCGCUAUAGUCAGUUUAUGACGGCCAGCUUUUGACCUUAUGUUUUUUGUCACAAAAAGGUCACAAAUAGAAAUUUGUGACCAUUCAGUGACCAAUAGGGGUGGUCACAAGUUGACAUAUUUCUUGUAGUGGUGGAGUUUAACUGCAGCAAGCCAACUUUGACUCAGUGUCUAACCUAAACUACGACUGCAAGCAACUCUUUUGAGGUGGCGCACACGAGUCCACAUAUUCACCAUCUCAAUACACCACUAUGGAUCUGCUCCCGUCUCCCUACGAGAACGCCAUCCAUAGCACUCACGCUUAUCUUGCGCAUUUUAGAGUAUCCACUUUCACUUGUCUAUGAACUGUAUAGGCAACCAAGCAGUCCUUUACCACGGACACGACUAUUAGAAUAGAUGAUGUUAACCCUGCAGGGGUGUACUUUUUCACACACACUCUCACCACUUACCAUCGUUUACACGACAUGUACUCGGCAACCUUCAAGCGGAAGCCCAACGAGGGUGUCGGCCACGGCCUACCUAAACACUCAAGUCUCUAGUCCAGGUUUAUCGCCUAUCCAGGUUCCAUCCGCAGGGAGUCCGGCCGAGGUUUCCACAUAAGGCCCCGAACGAUGUGUACAGGGUUCCGAGACACCAAAGUGGAAGGUCGCAGGGUCACCGGCACUCAUGCCGGCGACGAGCUUUGGCGGCGGUGGUGUUCGGUGGUGCUCGGGCGCAUCGCUACGGUGCAUCAGUGAGCAAAUGGAGAGGCUGGGCAGCACCUGCUAGACACGAGGAGCACUAAGAGUAGCAUGGUAAGGCCAGGGGAGCACGGAGGCUAUGUGUGCAGCAGCAAUGGCGGACGGCGGCUCCGGUGCUCGUGGGGAACGGCGCUACGGCGUGGGGGCGAGCAUGCUGAGUUAGGGGAGAAGGUCAGUGGCUCACGGCGAUGACGGUGGGACGCUCGACGAGGUCGGGGACGGUCCGGAGCCGACGAAUUUGACGGAGAUGGCCGGCGGUCCCGAGGUUGAAGAAGGCGUCAGGGAUGGCGAUGCGGUGCUUCCCUAGUUGCUUGGCUCGAAGUGGAAGAACAGGGCGACAAUGCGGAGCUCGGGGACGCGUUGGAGAGGCGAGGGGGUGGUUGUGGCUUCGGCGACGACGAGCGGCAGCGACGGCAGCGUUCGGUCGCGGGAGAGAGAGGGCGGCAGAGGAGAGUGAGAGCGGUCCGGGGGGUGCGUGGCGUCCUCUAGGCGCUUCGGGGUGGUGAGGAGACAGGCAGGCAAGGUGGAGGUGGCCGGCGCGCGUCGGGCACGCGCCCAGCGUCCUUCUGGCGCAAGGAGGAGGAUGACUGGCACAUGGGCCUGGUGGGCUGGCUUCUCUCGUGGGCCAGGUAAGUUACAGGUAAUCCCUCCUUCUCUGUUUUCUAUUUCAAUUACUGUUUUCUAUUUUAUUUCCUCUCUGUUUGAUUUAGUUUUAACCACUAAAUCAUUUUCAUAAAUUCUGUAGGUUAUUAUAUGGCUUGCUAAACUAUAUAAAAAGCCACUCACAAACUUCUAGAAUUAUUGAAGUUAUAUUUAAUAUAUAUUAAAUAUAAAUCCAAAGCAAAUAAUUAUUGGAUUAAUUCAAAUGUCCAAAAUAAAUGUUUCUGAGCUCAUAAAAAUAUUGGUUUGAAUUUUAGCUCUUGCCAAUAAUUCUAUGGAAUAACAGGAACAUUUUAUUGGACUCAUUUGAGAAGAUUUUUAAAGUUGGUUAUUUUUGAACUGAUUUCUGAGGGUUUCAACAAACCUCAAUUCAACUUUCAGAAAUUAGACAUGAUGCAUGGAUGCUCUCUUAUGCAACUAUUGCAAACAAUUCUAGGGCUGUGACAUCUCUUUGUCUGGUGGCCCCAUGUAGUGACCCGACCUCAAACGGUCAAGUAUCUGUGCUUCAGUGUCAUCCCUGAAUCGGUAAUGCUGACACACAAUACUCGAAGGAUUUAUAACAGAGUGGCAAUCACACACUUAUUACAUCGAAUGUCUCCAAACAGAAUUUAUUACAAUAAAUAUGGCUUAAGGCCAUCUAAUAUGAUAACAGCGGAAGACUUGGAAGAUAAAGUGAGUCCAUCAACUCCAACGGCAUAGCUGAGUGCAUGACAACCGACCUAUCACGUCUUACUCCUUGUCUGAAAAGUCUGCAACAUGAUACAUUGCAGCCCGAAAAUGGGUCAACACAUGGAAUAUGUUGGCAAUGUAACACAGUAGAGCAAUGAAUAGGUAAAUUCUAUCACUACAUGCAUAUAUGGCUGGUGGAGACUCUAUGGUUAUAUGGUUUUUGCGAAAAGCCAAUUUUUCCCUACAACAAAGGAAUAUAUUUUAUUUAACUAUCAUGGUAGUUGAAACAUUGAGUGUGUUACCCCCAUAUCAAUCCCAAUUAAAAGUAAUUAUCAUCCCAACGAAUUAAAUUAGAGUGAUGAGAUACAGUAGGAUAAUCCAAGUACUAGAUACUCAAGAUGUCCAUAACCGGGGACACGGCUAAACAUGAUUGGUUUGUACACUCUACAGAGGUUUACACACUUUUCCCCACAAGACUCGAUCUCCUCCGUUGGAUUUCUUGCACUACAAGGUGUUUGAGAAACGGAUGACCGAGACACAGCCUUUCAGAAGCAUUAAGUCUUUACUUCGGGUGGAUAGUUACACCUACUUUCCCUCUACAUCUACUAGCCCACCACCGAAAGAGGUCACACAACAUACUCAACUAUGCCAGAGCCCAUAAUAGCUUGUGGCUGCACACGGAAGUUUCUAGCAUGAAUAAUCUUAUGAUCACUUUGAGCUUGGGUGGCGGACCGUAGAAGGAUCACACGGUAUAUCCCUGGGAUCUCCUAGGACAACACUGGUAUAUCCCUAGGUGCCCAAAACAAGUAAUCCACCCAGAUGUGUAUUAAAGUUUCCACCUUAAAUUGAACCAUUAAUUAACAAUCUCACAUCUGUCAUGGAUACACUCAAACCCAAUCCACGUCUAUGAGCAUAGCAUAGCAAUAUAAGCAUAACGUAGAAGUAACUCCCAGGGGUUUGAUAAUAAAACGGGUAAUAGGUUCUACCUCAUCAUCUACUUCCCAAUACCCACAAGUUAAAAGAUCCUACUCAUGCAAUGUUUGGGAAUUGAAACUAAUGCAUAAAAACUGGGUAUGAAAGAAGUAUGAUCAAUGUGUUACUUGCCUUGCUGAUCAUCCGCAAAACCUAGAGACUCAUAGUAGCAUGUUUCGCACUCCGGGUGUUCUAUCACAAACAAACAAUAGCAUACAUAAGCAAUCAAGCAAAGAUGCAUGGAUAAAUAUCAAAUAAGAAGAUCUAACCAGAAAGUUCAACUUAAUAACUCUGGUUUGCAAAAAGAAUCAAAUCAAACGGAGCAACGAAACACAAAAUGUGAAAGAAACAAGAUCGGAUUACUAAUCUGGACUAAAGUCAAAUUUUACAGUACCAAAAUCUUGUUCGAGUUGGUUAAAUGGAAAGAGGGUUUCGAGACGAAGAUCUAGGCGCUUGAAUCGCCUGAUUCCGAUAAGCGAGCGAAAAGAUAAAAUAAAACAAAAAUCGGGUCAGAAAUCACGAUAAAAAAUAAUCGCGAAAAACCCUGGAAAAAGAAAAACGAACGAAUAGGUGAUACGUCCAUUUUGCAUCAUGCCUUUAUAUCGAUAUUUAUUUCUUUAUGGGAUGUUAUUUCACUUUAUGUCAUAAUACUUAUGGCUAUUCUCUCUUAUUUUACGAGGUUUACAAAAGGAGGGAGAAUGCCGGCAGCUCGAAUUAUGGUCUGGAAAAGGAGCAAAUAUUAGAGACCUAUUCUGCGCAACUCCAAAAGUCCUGAAACUCCACGGAACGUCUUAAAAGAAAUAAAGAAAAAUCCACGCCAAAGAUGAAGGCCAGGGGGCCCACACCCUGCUCACGAGGGUGGGGGGCGCCCCCCCUAGGGCGCGCCCCCUACCUCGUGGGCCCCCUAGUGGCUCUCCGAUGUCCAUCUUCUCCUAUAUGAGGUCUUUCGAUGAGAAAAAAAUAAAAAGGAACUUUUUGGGAUGAGACUCCGCCGCCACGAGGCGGAACCUUGGAGGAUCCAAUCUAGAGCUCCGGUAGAGCUAUUCUGCCGGGGAAACUUCCCUCCGGGAGGGGGAAAUCAUCACCAUCGUCAUCACCAACGCUCCUCUCAUCGGGAGAGGGCAAUCUCCAUCAACAUCUUCACCAGCACCAUCUCAUCUCCAAAUCCUAGUUCAUCUCUUGUAUCCAAUUCUUGUCUCAAAGUCCGGGAUUGGUGCUAGUAGGUUGCUAGUAGUGUUGAUUACUCCUUGUAGUUGAUGCUAGUUGGUUUAUUUGGUGGAAGAUCAUAUGUUCAGAUCCUAUAUGCAUAUUAUUACCCCUCUAAUUAUGAACAUGAAUAUGCUUUGUGAGUAACUACGUUCGUUCCUGAGGACAAGGGAGAAGUCUUGCAAUAAGUAGUCAUGUGAAUUUGGUAUUUGUUUGAUAUUUUGAUAAGAUGUAUGUUGUCUAGCCUCUGGUGGUGUUAUAUGAACGUCGACUACAUAACACUUCGCCAUUAUUUGGGCCUAGAGGAAGGCAUUGGGAAGUAAUAAGUAGAUGAUGGGUUGCUAGAGUGACAGAAGCUUAAACCCUAGUUUAUGCGUUGUUUCGUAAGGGGCUGAUUUGGAUCCAUAUGUUUCAUGCUAUGGUUAGGUUUACCUUAAUACUUUUAAUGUAGUUGCGGAUGCUUGCAAUAGAGGUUAAUCAUAAGUGGGAUGCUUGUUCAAGUAAGAACAGCACCCAAGCACCGGUCCACCCACAUAUCAAAUUAUCAAAGUAUCAAACGCGAAUCAUAUGAACGUGAUGAAAACUAGCUUGACGAUGUUCCCAUGUGUCCUCGGGAGCGCUUUUCCUAUUAUAAGAGUUUGUUCCAUCUUGUCCUUUGCUACAAAAGUAUUGGGCCACCCUGCUGCACUUUAUUUACUUUUGUUACUCGUUGCUCGUUACAAUUCAUCCUAUCACAAAACUAUCUGUUACCACUUAUUUCAGUACUUGCAGAGAAUACCUUGCUGAAAACCGCUUAUUAUUUCCUUCUGCUCCUUGUUGGGUUCGACACUCUUUCUUAUCGAAAGGACUAUGAUAGAUCCCCUAUACUUGUGGGUCAUCAAGAAUCUUUUAUGGCGCCGUUGCCGGGGAGUGUAGCACCUUUGGUAGGUGGAAUUUGGUAAGGAAAAAUUUAUAUAGUUUGCUGAAAUUUACUGUCACUUGUUACUAUGGAAAGUAAUUCUCUGAGGGGCUUGUUCGGGGUAUCUUCACCCCGUCCAGUAGAGCAAAGAGUUGCUCCUCAACCUACUGAACCUAUUGAAAAUGGAACUCCUUUUAAAUUUCCUUCGGGUAUGAUGGAAAAACUGCUAGCUAACCCUUUUACAGGAGAUGGAACAAAGCAUCCUGAUGAGCACUUAAUAUAUGUGGAUGAAGUUUGUGGAUUAUUUAAGCUUGCAGGUAUACCCGAUGAUGUUGCUAAGAAGAAGGUCUUCCCUUUAUCUUUGAAGUGAUACGCAUUGAUAUGGUAUAUGCUAUGUGAUGAUAUUAGAUCAUGGGACUAUAAAAGAUUGAAGUUGGAAUUUCAUCAAAAGUAUUACCCUAUGCAUCUUGUUCAUCGUGAUCGCAAUUAUAUAUAUAAUUUCCGGCCUCGCGAAGGAGAAAGCAUCGCUCAAGCUUGGGGGAGGCUUAGAUUAAUGUUAUAUUCAUGCCCCAAUCAUGAGCUCCCGAGAGAAAUAAUUAUGCAAAGUUUUUAUGCUCGGCUUUCUGAAAACAAUCGCACCAUGCUUGAUACUUCUUGUGCUAGCUCUUUUAUGAUGAAGACUAUUGAAUUCAGAUGGAAUUUAUUGGAUAGAAUUAAACGCAACUAUGAAGAUUGGGACCUCGAUGAAGGUUAGGAGUCAGGUAUGACACCUAAGUGUGAUUGUGUUAAAUCUUUUAUGGACACUGAUAUUUUCUGUAAGUUUAGCACUAAAUAUGGACUUGACUCUGAGAUAGUAGCUUCUUUCUGUGAAUCUUUUGCUACUUAUGUUGAUCUCCCUAAGGAGAACUGGUUUAAAUAUCAUCCUCCCAAAGAAGUAAAAGUAGCUGCACCUAUUAAAGUUGAAGAAAAGGCUGUCACUUAAAAUGAUCCUAUUGUUCCUACUUCUUAUAUUGAGAAACCACCUUUCCCUGUUAGAAUAAAGGAUCAUGCUAAAGCUUCAACUGUUGUUCAUAAAAGCAAUAUUAGAACUUAUACACCUCCUGAGCAAGUUAAAGUAGAACCUAAUAUUGCUAUUGUUAAAGAUCUCUUGUCUGAUAAUAUUGCUGGGCAUGUUAUUCAGUUCGAAAGUGAAACUGCAACAAUUGCUAAACCUUGUGCUAAAGAUAAACAUAGACCUGUGGUAGGCGUGCCUGUUAUUUCUGUUAAAAUAGGAGAUCAUUGUUAUCAUGGCUUAUGUGAUAUGGGUCCUAGUGCUAGUGUUAUACCUCAUGACUUAUACAAAGAAAUUAAGAAUGAAAUUGCACCUGUUGAGUUAGAAGAUAUUGAUGUCACAAUCAAACUUGCUAAUAGAGAUACUAUUGCGCCAAUUGGAAUUGUUAGAGAUGUUGAAGUCUUGUGUGGGAAAACUAAAUAUCCAGCUGAUUUUCUUGUUCUUACUUCUCCGCAAGAUAGCUUUUGUCCCAUUAUAUUUGGUAGACCCUUCUUAAAUACUGUCAAUGCUACCAUAGAUUGCACUAAGAAUGGUGUUACUGUUGGCUUGGACGAUAUGGUUCAUGAGUUUAAUUUCUCUAAAUUUAGUAAACAACAUCGUGAGGAAGAAUUACCUAGUAAGGAUGAAAUUAUUGGUCUUGCUUCUAUUGCCGUACCUCCUAGUGAUCCUUUAGAAAACUAUUUGCUAGACCAUGAAAAUGAUAUGUUCAUGAAUGAAAGAAGGGAAAUAGAUGAAAUAUUCUUUAAACAGGAACCUAUUCUGCAUCACAAUUUGCCUGUUAAAAUUUUAGGGGAUCCUCCUCCACCCAAGGGUGAUCCCGUGUUUGAGCUUAAAUUUUGCCUGAUAAUCUUAAAUAUGAUUAUCUUGAUGAAAAGAAGAUAUAUCCUGUUAUUAUUAGUGCUAACCUUUCAGAGCAUGAAGAAGAAAGAUUAUUGAAAACUCUGAAGAAGCAUCGUGCUGCUAUUGGAUAUACUCUUGAUGAUCUUAAGGGCAUUAGUCCCACUCUAUGUCAACAUAAAAUAAAUUUGGCGGCAGAUGCCAAACCAGUUCGUGAUCCUCAACGAUGUCUGAAUCCUAAAAUGAAAGAAGUGGUAAGGAAACAAAUACUAAAGCUUCUGAAGGCAGGUAUAAUUUAUCUCGUUGCUGAUAGUGAGUGGGUAAGUCCUGUCCAUUGUGUCCCUAAGAAGGGAGGUAUUACUGUUGUUCCUAAUGAUAAAGAUGAAUUGAUUCCACAAAGAAUUAUCAUAGGUUAUAGGAUGGUAAUUGAUUUCCGCAAAUUAAAUAAAGAUACUAAGAAAGAUCAUUACCCCUUACCUUUUAUUGAUCAAAUGCUAGAAAGAUUAUGCAAACAUACACACUACUGCUUUCUAGAUGGUUAUUCUGGUUUCUCUCAAAUACCUGUGUCGGCUAGAGAUCAAUGAAAGACUACUUUUACAUGCCCUUUUGGUACUUUUGCUUAUAGACGUAUGUAUUUUGGUUUAUGUAAUGCACCUGCUACCUUUCAAAGAUGCAUGAUGGCUAUAUUCUCUGACUUUUGUGAAAAUAUUUGUGAGGUUUUCAUGGACGACUUUUCCGUCUAUGGUUCCUCUUUUGAUGAUUGUUUGAGCAAUCUUGAUCGAGUUUUGCAGAGAUGUGAAGAAACUAAUCUUGUCUUGAAUUGGGAAAAGUGUCACUUUAUGGUUAAUGAAGGUAUUGUCUUGGGGCACAAAGUUUCUGAAAGAGGUAUUGAAGUUGAUAAAGCCAAGGUUGAUGCUAUUGAAAAGAUGCCAUGUCCCAAGGACAUCAAAGGUAUAAGAAGUUUCCUUGGUCACGCCGGAUUUUAUAGGAGGUUCAUUAAGGACUUCUCAAAAAUUUCUCGGCCUUUGACUAAUUUAUUGCAAAAAUAUAUACCAUUUGUCUUUGAUGAUGAUUGUGUAGAACCAUUUGAAAUACUUAAGAAAGCAUUGGUCUCUGCACCUGUUGUUCAGCCACCUGAUUGGAACCUACCCUUUGAAAUUAUGUGUGAUGCUAGUGAUUAUGCUGUAGGUGUUGUUCUAGGGCAAAGAGUUGAUAAGAAAUUAAAUGUUAUUCAUUAUGCUAGUAAGACUCUAGACAAUGCUCAAAGAAAUUAUGCUACUACUGAAAAAGAGCUUUUAGCAGUUGUAUUUGCUUGUGAUAAGUUCAGAUCUUAUAUUGUUGAUUCUAAAGUAACUAUUCAAACUGAUCAUGCUGCUAUUAAAUAUCUUAUGGAAAAGAAAGAUGCUAAACCUAGACUUAUUAGAUGGGUUCUCUUGCUACAAGAAUUUGAUUUGCAUAUUGUUGAUAGAAAGGGAGCUGAGAACCCCGUUGCAGACAACUUGUCUAGGUUAGAAAAUAUUCUUGAUGACCCACUACCUAUUAAUGAUAGCUUUCCUCAUGAACAAUUAAAUGUUAUAAGUACUUCUCGUAGUACUCCAUGGUAUGCUGAUUAUGCUAAUUAUAUUGUUGCUAAAUUUAUACCACCUAGCAUCACAUACCAACAAAAUAAAAAGUUUUUCUAUGGUUUAAGACAUUACUUUUGGGAUGACCCACAUCUUUAUAAAGAAGGAGUAGAUGGUGUUAUGAGAUGUUGUGUACCUGACCAUGAACAGGAACAGAUCCUACGCAAGUGUCACUCUGAGUCUUAUGGAGGACACCACGCUGGAGAUAGAACUGCACAUAAGGUAUUGCAAUCUGGUUUUUAUUGGCCUACUCUCUUCAAGGAUGCCCGUGAGUUUGUCUUGUCUUGUGAUGAAUGUCAAAGAAUUGGUAAUAUUAGUAGACGUCAAGAAAUGCCUAUGAAUUAUUAUCUUGUUAUUGAACCGUUUGAUGUUUGGGGCUUUGAUUAUAUGGGACCUUUUCCUGCCUCUAAUGGAUACACACAUAUUCUAGUUGCUGUUGAUUACAUUACUAAGUGGGUAGAAGCUAUUCCAACUAGUAGUGCUGAUCACAACACUUCUAUUAAAAUGCUUAAAGAAGUUAUUUUUCCGAGGUUUGGAGUCCCUAGAUAUUUAAUGAUUCAUGGUGCUUUCUGUAAAAUGCUUGCUAAAUAUGAUGUUAAUCAUAGAAUUGCAUCUCCUUAUCACCCAUAGUCUAGUGGUCAAGUAGAGUUGAGCAAUAGAGAGCUCAAAUUAAUUUUGCAAAAGACUGUUAAUAGGUCUAGAAAGAAUUGGUCCAAGAAACUUGAUGAUGCAUUAUGGGCUUAUAGAACUGCAUACAAAAAUCCUAUGGGUAUGUCUCCAUAUAAAAUGGUUUAUGGAAAAGCAUGACACUUACCUCUUUAACUAGAACAUAAGGCAUAUUGGGCUAUUAAAGAGCUCAACUAUGAUUUUAAACUUGCCGGUGAGAAGAGGUUAUUUGAUAUUAGCUCACUUGAUGAAUGGAGAACCCAAGCUUAUGAAAAUGCCAAGUUGUUUAAAGAAAAGGUUAAAAGAUGGCAUGACAAAAGGAUACAAAAGCAUGAUUUUAAUGUAGGUGAUUAUGUAUUGCUAUACAACUCUUGUUUAAGAUUUUUUGCAGGAAAACUUCUCUCUAAAUGGGAAGGCCCCUAUGUUAUCGAAGAGGUCUAUCGUUCCGUUGCCAUAAAAAUCAACAACUUCGAGGGCACAAAUCCGAAGGUGGUAAACGGUCAAAGAAUUAAACAUUAUAUCUCAGGUAAUCCCAUAAAUGUGGAAACCAAUAUUAUUGAAACCAUAACCCCGGAGGAAUACAUAAUAGACACUUUUCGGAACGUUUCAGACUCCGAAAAGGAAUAGGUAUGUGAUACGGUAAGUAAACCGACUCCAAAACAAUUUUUAAGGCAAUAUUUCUCCGUUUUGGAAUAUUUAGAAAAAUAAAAAAAUAAGUAGCAGUCCGGGAAGGACAUGAGGGCCCCACGAGGGUGGUGGGCGCGCCCUACCCCCUGGGCGCGCCCCCUACCUCGUGAGCACCUCGUGUGCCCUCCGGACUCCGUUUUCUUGCACGAUAUGUAUUUUGGUCGGUAAAAAUUCAUUAUAUAUUCUCCCGAAGGUUUUCACUCUUUUAUCAUGCAAAUUUCCUCUGUUUUUGUUUUCGAGCUGUUGCUACUGCAGAUUAGAGCAAGAUGUCUUCUCAAGAGUCAAUCAGGGAGAGUCAGGUAUCUAAUCCGGCACCGGAACCAAGGGCAAACAGCAAAGCUGACCACUUUGGGCUAGCAACGGAGGAAGAGAUGGAGGCUGACAUAAAGAGAGUAGAUGCCAUGGAGGAUCAAGAAGUCACCUCUCGCCUCCGAGCUGGGUUCACGAUGGGGGAACUACAGAGCUCAGCUAUUCCAAACUCGGUUAUCCCUUCUAAUGUUAAAUUUCUUUCUUAUGAAAAUAUGAAGAGGAGUGUCACUUGUUCUCCCGCAGCUAUGCAACACCCUUAGGUGCAAGGAGCUUUAGCUGUCACAAGAAAGCUUCAUAAGGAAAUAAUGGACCUCAAACAGCAAGUCAAUAAGCUCGAUGAGGAGAACCGCAUCCUGAGGGGAAUCAUCACCAAGAAUAUUACACCGACAACAAAGAAGGAGACAUAAUCACAUGAGUACGGGCACUCCCCUUGGCAACUGCCAAGCUUGGGGGACAUGCCCCGGUAUCGUAUCACAAUCACAACUCCUAUAUUUACCGUUUUUCUUAGUUCGAUCCUAUUAGUAGUAUCCUGAUCUAGUAGAAUAAAGUUUAUGGCAUGAUCUAGUUUUGAGUUUUGCUUUAUGAUCUUUCUAUGUAAUCGAGUCCGUGAGCUAUAUAUAAUAAAGAUUAGUGUUGAAUCAAGGGCUUGAUUAUUUUGCCAUGAUCUUGGGUGAAUAAAAGAAAUGAGAAAAGAAUAAAAAGAAACAAAAAGUUCAUAUUGAUCUUAUUGAGAGUUAUGUCUUCACAUAGAAAGAGUAUGAUGAUUAAAAGUUGUUGGGAGUUGGCAGACAUAGCUUUGGUCAUUGUUGCAAUUAAUAGGAAGUAAUAAGGAAAGAGAGGUUUUCACAUAUAGAUAUAUUAUCAUUGACAUCUUUUAUGAUUGGGAGCACUCAUUAAAAUAUGACAUGCUAAAGAGUUGAUGUUGGACAAGGAAGACAAUGUAAUGAGUUAUGUAUUUCUUAUAUCUGAGAUAAAGUAUGUUGUCAUGGAUCCUCUAACUUGUUGAGCUUGCCUUUCCCCCUCAUGCUAGCCAAAUUCUCAGCACCAAGUAGAAAUACUACUUGUGCUUCCAAAUAUCCUUAAACCAGUUUCACCAUGAGAAGAUUGAGGCUCUAACUAAAGAACUAAAAACUCUUAAGUUAGCUCAUGACACUAUCUUCGAAGAUCAUCGAGAACUUUUAAGAGCUCAUGAGAAACUACGCUUUGAAAAUCUCAAUCUUGAGCAAGAGCAUGAGUUCUUAAAGGCAAUCAAUGAUGAUCUCCGCAAGAAAAGUUCUUCUUACAUUGCCAAACGUUUACUCUUAUCCACUUACAUGCCUCAAGUCAAGUCUAACAAGAAAGAUUCUUCCUCUAGUAGUAACAAUGAUCAUGCUAAAUCCAAUAUUGUUGCUUCUAGUAGUUCUCUUGAUUCCACUAAUGAUUCUCUUAGCCAAGUUACACUUGAGCAAGAAAAUAGCUUAUUGAAGGGAAUUAUAGAGAAAGGAGUGUACAAAAGCCUUGUCGGGAGUAAGCAAUUCGAGGAAAUUGUGCGCAAGCAAGGAAUGCACCGGAAGAAUCAAGGUGUUGGUUUUGAACGAAAGUUCAAUGCCAAUGGAGUUGAAUGGGAAUAAGAUCAAUACCCCAAGAAAAAGUUUGUCCCUCAACAAGAGAAGUAUACUUCUUUCAAGGGGACACAAGCUCAAGAUGAUCUUCCACCACAAGACUACGAGCAAAAAGGCAAGGAAAAGCUUCAAGAGGAAAUUGAUGCAUUUGAAGAAGCUCCUAAGACCUUAGUCAAGUGGAUUCCCAAGACUACUUCAAGUUCCACUUCAUCAAGUACGACUACAACUCCAAGGAUUCCCAUCAAGAUGAUGUGGAUCCAAAAGAAGAAGAACUAGAGAGUUCUUGAGGGUGACUCCGCCAACAUACUUCACUCUUAUCAUUUUGGCAAGAACAAGUGCAAUCAACUUCCACAUCUUGCACUAGUUCAAGGAGUCACAAACCCUCUUGUUGGUAAGACAAGGGACAAGGUAACCUAAAAGUUUUCAUGGACAUCAUCUUUUGUGUGCAUCACUCUAUGUCUAUGGAUAUCCUUGUUUGUUCCUUGUGGGACUAACCCAUGUAGGUGUUGAAAGUGCAAUUCACUCAAAUGGAUAGCUCCAAGAGAUCUACAUCAACAUUGAGCAUCCACAUCUUCAAUGUCUACACGAAGUCAUCAUUGACAAAACCCAAGGUUAGUUCAUCCCUCUUAGGGGGGAUAUCACAUCUAGGGGGAGCUUUACUCUAAGACUUGAGCUAAAGCAACUCUAAAGAUGUGAACACAACAAUGCUUUAUGUAAAAGUGGUAACCCCACUUGAGCUUACACAAUGAGUAUGACCUAUGAUCAAGUGUUCUCACUUGACUCCUAAGUCAAUGUACUCAUAUAUAGAUGACCUAGUCAUCGCAAAUUGCUUGAUAAAUGCUAGAAUUGGUUGUGCAUGCCUUGCCACAUAUUUCAUUUGCCAUCUUAUUGUGUGAGCAUGCUGAUUUCAUAUUUUACUCAUUCGAGGACAUCCACUUGUUGUUUUGAUUGCUUGGUUUUAUCCUCUUUUGCCAAGUGGAUGGACAAGAAUGCCUAAGAACGUCCUCUAGCUAUCUAUGCUUUUCUCGUCUCAAACUCUAUUCAUGCUGCAUCACAAAAUUUGAUCAAGUCAGAUUCGAACCACUCUAUGUGAGGAGCGCUCGGAGUCCCCGAUUCAUCAUAGACUUAAACUUCCAAAACCUCUUUAUGAUUCUCGGUCUGACCGAUACUCCACUUUCGGUCCUACCAAGAUCAUUAAGUUGAUCUAGGUUUUCGAUCUCGGUGCAACCGAUUUGAACCUUUCGGUCACACCGAGUUUCAGUAACUGCACGCAGUUAUGAAUCUCGGUGCCACCGAGUUGUUCCACUCGGUCACACCGACAGGGUCGGGCUAUAUAUAGUCACGGGUAAAAUUUGGAAAUUUCUCCGAACCCCUUCGCCCGCGCGAUAGCCUGCUCUGCCCUCGAGGUCUUCGGAUCGUCUUCUCGCCGCCAGCAGCCUCCAGUCGCUAGUCUCCGUCGCCAUCAACGGAAAUUCUGCCCCGCCGUUGCCGUCGUAGCAAGUCCCCGCCGAACUAGGGUAUGGACUUGAUCUUUGUGCUAUUCCUCAAUCUGAUUCCUAGCACAUUGUGAUCAUAUUGUUUCUAGCCAUGUUUGAUAAACUUCUAUCCAGUCAAAACGCUCAUAGAUUAGGUUUGAUUCGAAAAUUCUAGGUUUAGGUUUCCGCCGAAACUAUCUCGGACCCACCGAGUUGAAAAACUAGGUCCCACCGAUUUGGCUUAUGCCAUUGCACAAGUGAGACUCGGUCUGACCGAGAAUUACUUAUCGGUGUGACCGAUUUUUGAACUCAGUGAAACCCUAGCAGUCCCGGUGCCACCGAACUGUGACUCGGUCCUACCGAGUUCACUAGUUUAGGUUCCAAAACUGCUUCGGUAUCACCGAGUUUGAAAAUCGGUAGAUCCGAGAUGAUUUCAGUGGGAAACUAAAACUAAGUUUUUGGAUCAUUCUUUUUGCAAAAAUCUCUGCAUUUUGUGAUGCUCAUCCACUCUAUCUCCUCUAUAAUCUAUUCACAGGGUCAGCAGUCAGUUUGCAGCAUGUCAGACCAGAGUGAUAGCCAGAAUCUGUCAGAGCAGCAAGUGGUGAUGAGUGAGGGCACUAGUCCCUCCAGUUCAUCUGAUGAAGGCAGCAGGAGCACUCCUAGCAAUUUGCCAAAGGCUGCCACGAGACAAAGGAAGAAGAAAACUUCAGACUCUGAAGAUGAGGACUAUGUGGCAGAGGAAGAGGCCACUUCCAAGAGAAUUGAACCAACUCAAGGCACUAAGCCAGGUCUAAAAAUCAAAAGGCCAGCAGGCAGGCAGCCCAUGUCAAAGGCUAGAGCCUCAACUGAGAAGCCCACUUCCCAAGAGCCAGCUACAGCUAAGGGCAAGAAAAGGAAGGAGAGGGUGAAGAAGACUGUGGCUAGAGUGCUUGGCAACGCUUCCAUCAUGGAAGAGGAAGAGGAAGAAGAGGCAACUGCACCAGCGCCCAAGGCACCCAAGCUAAUGGGAGAUGCCAUAAGGUUAGGGGGAGUUGCAUCGAAGCCCAAGGAAGCACCUAAGGCUGCAUCUAAGCCUAAGAGUGCACCAAAGAGAAACACAAGAAGCAUCCCAGCCACUGAGAAGAACAAGGCCCCAGUGCCUAAAGCUGCAGAGGAAGAGGAAGAGAAUGUCCUUCGGAAGCUCAAGCCCAAGAUCCCAGACCACAACGAUGCUCAUCCUGUGGAUGAGGAUAUGAAGCUCAGGAGAGACUCAGGGCUCAGGAAGUGGAGAGAAGCAGAUCCAUAUGCUUCUAGGAGAAGGACUGAAGUGGACUACAGGUUUCAUACCAAGGAGCAGCAGGAUUUCUAUGAGACAGUGCUACUUGACAAGAAGCCAAUUGUAUGUGACAUGAGAUGGGUCGACUGGACCUAUAUCAAGGACAAUGAAGAGUACUACCCUGGAGUAUUUGACAGCUUUAGUGCGUGUGGAGUUGCAGACUUUGUUGGGAAGAAGCUCACAAAGUGGAACGAGGAGCUAAUCAUGCAAUUCUACUCCAUAGCACACUUUUAUCCGGAUGGCAGGAUCACAUGGAUGUCAGAGGGUACAAGGUACCACUCUACUGUGGAGGAAUGGGCGAAGCUGAUCAAUGCCCCAGAGGAGCAAGCAGAUGAUUUGGACAUUUAUGCCAAGAAAAAGAUGGACCGCAACUCCAUGUCCAACAUGUACAAGGAGAUUUCGAAUGAAGCACUUGACACGUUCAAGUUUGGCUCAGUGCAUUAUCUGCUAUCAGGAUUGCCUACGAUCAACUGGAUCCUUAGGCACACCCUUCUGCCCAAGUCUGGAGAUCACAAGAUGAUCAGAGGUCACGCGAUCAAUUUGCUUCAUGUCUUUGACGUGCCUCAAAAAUUCAAAGUCAUGAGCCUCAUAGUGGAAACAAUCAAAAGGACUGCGGCAGAUCAGAAGAGGAGCUGUGGAUAUGCCCCUUAGAUUCAGGAGCUCAUCAACUCCAAGAUGGGCACGGGCGUAUAUUUGGUGGAUAAGGAACACCUGCCCAUCCGUCCAGAUUUCGAAGAUAAUCAAGUUGUUAUGACUGAGAAAGAACCAUCAUCUGCCCAUGCACAAGCUCAGAAGGAGAAGGCGAAGAAGGAGAAAGCUGCUAGGAUGCCUACUCAAGCAGAGGCAUCUGAUUACUUCCUGAAAACCAAACAAGAGCAGCUUGGUUACCUGAUUGCGUCCACCCUGCGGAUUGAGCAGAGUAUAGCCACCCUGACUCAGAACCAGGCGAGUUUAGAGAGGAUCAUGGAACAGAGGUUCUAUGACUUGGACAUCAAGGUGACAGAGAUACAGACUGCCGUGGAGCAGCUCCAGGAGGACAUGAAUGAGAGGAGAGGCAGGACCACGACUGGUGCUUUUGCGAGGGUGCCACGAGGUCCGAGGUCGUCUGCACUGCCAGUUGCUGACACCAGAGCUACAACGUCUGCACCAGCCAUAGCCUCAGUUCCACCAGCUCCAGCAUCCACUUCAGCCUCGACUCCGACCACGUCUACCGAAGGCUUCGUCCUUGGAGUGCUCCGGACUCCACCACCACCUGAAGAUCAAGCCUGAGCAUCGAUCUAGUGCUAUGCAUUUUCUAGGAACUUUUUGGUAACUUGUUGCCAACGGGGGAGAAGAUGUAUAGAUCAUAGGCUUCGAGAGAGAGAGAGUGUGUUGCUUUUAUCUCUUGCUUUAUUUGGUGGUUUUUCGAACUUAUCUGCUUUUGAGUGCUUGAUACUACGUCAUUAUUUGUGAGACAUUGAUGAUCAUGUGUUUGAUCAUAAGCUACACUUAAUGCUUGCUUAAUGCCAUUAUCCUAUCUAUCUUGUGUGAUCAUUCAUUAUUCUUGGUGAUGAGUGCAUGUAUUUCAUUCUUAUCAUUUUGAGCGCUCCACCAAGAUGUAUGUGACAUGGAAGAGUAACCCAUGACUCUAACUCUUUGUGCAUUUGCAGUCCAAAGCAAAUUUUAAAUAUGCACAAAUUUAGGGGGAGCUCUUACUUAUCACAUACUUCUCAAAGCGACGAUAUAUUUCAUGCUUAUUAUCAUUUGUCGAAGCUUUGAUCUAUAUGUUGUCAUCAAUUACCAAAAAGGGGGAGAUUGAAAGUGCAACUAUCCCUAGGUGGUUUUGGUAAUUCAUAACAACAUAUAGCUCAUUGAGCUAAUGCUAUUCCAAGAUGAUUAUUUCAGGAAAGCUCAAUGAUUGGCAUGGCAUGGAUGUGAAAGUGGAACCCUCAAAAUGCUAAGGACAAAGGAUUGGCUCAAGCUCAAAAGCUCAAGACUCUUCAUUUUAUAUUUUAGUGAUCCAAGAUCACAUUGAGUCUUUAGGAAAAGCCAAUACUAUUAAGGAGGGAUAAGGUGUUGCUUAAUGAGACUCUUGCUUCAUGUGCUUAGUGAUAUGCUCCAAAACCCUCAACUACUUUCCCAUAUCCACAUAUGACCUAAACCCUAAGCCAAACUCGGUCCUACCGAUUCUUCCUAUCCGGCGCCACCGAGUUUCACUUGUCAUUAGCCACUGCCAAACCCUAGCAAUUCGGUUCUACCGAUAAGGAUCUCGGUCUCACCGAGAUGGGGUUGCAAACUCUCUGUUUCCCUUUCGUAACUUUUCGGUCUUACCGAAAGAGCGAAUCGGUCCCACCGAGAUUGCAAUGUAAACUCAGUGUUUCCCUUUGUAACUUUUCGGUCUCACCGUGUUCCACUCGGUCUCACCGAAAGAGCAAAUCGGUCCCACCGAGUUUGCCUGACCAACUCUCUGGUUAGCUAAUUACCAAAUUCGGUCUCACCGAGUUUGUGUAAUCGGUCUCACCGAGAUUACGUUAUGCCCAAACCCUAACUGAAUCGGUCCUACCGAGUUGCAUGUCAGUCCCACCGAAAUUCCUAACGGUCACUAGGUUUACUAUUUCGGUCAGACCGAGUUUUCUGAUUCGGUCCCACCGAGAUUGGUAAAUUGUAUGUAACGGUUGGAUUUUGUGUGGAGGCUAUAUAUACCCCUCCACCUCCUUCUCAUGACAAAAGAGAGCCAUCAGAACACACACACCAUUCCAACUCAUAUGUUCUGAGAGAGAACCACCUACUCAUGUGUUGAGAUCAAGACAUUCCAUUCCGACCAUAUGAAUCUUGAUCUCUAGCCUUCCCAAGUUGCUUUCCACAAAAACCCUCUUUCCACCAAAUCCAAAUCCUAUGAGAGAGAGUUGAGUGUUGGGGAGACUAUCAUUUGAAGCACAAGAGCAAGGAGUUCAUUACCUACACACCAUUUGUUACUUCUUGGAGAGUGGUGUCUCCUAGAUUGGCUAGGUGUCAUUUGGGAGCCUCCGACAAGAUUGUGGAGUUGAACCAAGGAGUUUGUAAGGGCAAGGAGAUCGCCUACUUUGUGAAGAUCUACCACUAGUGAAGCAAGUCCAGUGUGGGCGAUGGCCAUGGUGGGAUAGACAAGGUUGCUUCUUCGUGGACCCUUUGUGGGUGGUUGCUUCUUCGUGGACCCUUCGUGGGUGGAGCCCUGUGUGGACUCGCGCAACCGUUGCCCUUUGGUGGAGCCCUGUGUGGACUCGCGCAACCAUUACCCUUCGUGGGUUGAAGUCUCCAUCAACGUGGAUGUAGGAUAGCACCACCUAUCCGAACCAUGGGAAAAACAUCCGUGUCUCCAAUAGCGUUUGAAUUCUCCAAACCCUUCCCUUUACAUUCUCGCAAGUUGCAUGCUUUACUUUCCGCUGCCCAUAAACUCUUUGCAUGCUUGCUUGAGUGAUGUGAUGAUUGCUUGACUUGUCCUAAAUUAGCUAAAAUCUGCCAAGACCUAAAAUCGGGAAAAGGUUAAGUUUUAUUUGGUCAAGUAGUCUAAUCACCCCCCCCCCUCUAGACAUACUUUCGAUCCUACAAGUGGUAUCAGAGCCUUGGUCUCCAUUUGCUUGAUCUCCAUAGCUUUUGGUGGUCAUAGCCUUGGUUUCACAACCUAGGAGAGUAUGGCGUCUAGCGAGGGAAAUUAUCACCGUAGAGGUCCUUACUUUGAUGGUACUAAUUUUGCUAGUUGGAAGCAUAAAAUGAAAAUGCAUAUUCUUGGACAUAACCCCGCUAUUUGGGCUAUUGUGUGUGUUGGUUUGCAAGGUGACUUCUUUGACGGGAGAGAACCAAACCGUGAAGCUACCGCGGAUGAGUUGAAGACGUUGCAAUACAAUGCUCAAGCUUGUGAUAUUCUCUUCAAUGGAUUGUGCCCCGAAGAAUUCAACAAAAUCAGCCGCCUUGAGAAUGCAAAGGAAAUUUGGGACACUUUGAUUGAUAUGCACGAAGGUACCGACUCCGUCAAGGAAUCCAAGUUGGAUGUGCUUCAAAGCCAACUUGACAAGUUCAAGAUGAAGGAUGGUGAAGGUGUCGCUGAAAUGUACUCUAGGCUUGCUCUCAUCACAAAUGAGAUUGGCGGCUUAGGAAGUGAAGAGAUGACUGAUAGAUUCAUCAUCAAGAAGAUCCUAAGAGCCUUGGAUGGAAAAUAUGAUACCGUGUGCACAUUGAUCCAAAUGAUGCCCAAUUACAAAGAUCUCAAGCCAACGGAGGUGAUUGGAAGAAUUGUUGCUCAUGAGAUGUCACUUAAGGAUAAAGAGGAACUUCUCAACAAAUCAAGUGGUGCCUAUAAAGCCUCAUGUGAAGCCCCUACAUCAUCAAGUGAGAAACAAGACUUCAAUGAAGAAUUGAGCUUAAUGGUGAAGAACUUCAACAAGUUCUACAAGAGUAGAAGCAAAGAUAGAAGCUCCAAGUCAAGGUCCUACAAUGACAAAAGUUCUUCUAGUAGAGAGCGAAACUGUUACAAUUGUGGAAGACCCGGACACUAUUCCAAUGAGUGUACGGCUCCCUACAAGAGAAGAGAAGAUUCUCCAAAAAGAAGAAGCAAAGGAUCACCACCAAGAGAGAGAAGGAGUAAAGAUGAUCGUUAUGAACGAAGAUACUCACGGAGAAGCAAGGAUUCGGAAAGGAAGGAAAAAUCAUCAAGGAGCUACACAAGGCGAAGACAUCAAGCUCAUGUUGGUUAAUGGGUAUCCGGCUCCGACUCCGACAGCCACUUCGAGAGAAGUUAUCACUCCGACUCCGAAGAUACUCAAGAUGAAGGUGUUGCCGGUCUAGCACUUGUGUCAAGCAACUCCUACGACAUAUUUGACUCACCAAAUGAAGGAAUUGGAAGAUGCUUCAUGGCCAAAGGUCCUAAGGUAACACACCCCGAGUAUGUUGAUUUCAAUAGUGAUGAAGAUGACUUGUUAGGUGAUGAUUUGCUUGGUGACAACUCUAGUGAUGAAUACUAUGAUGAAAGGCCAAUUAAUCAUGCUAAAACGAGUGACAAUGAUAAGGAGAAGAUUGAGGCUCUAACUAAAGAACUAAAAACUCUUAAGUUAGCUCAUGACACUAUCUUCGAAGAUCAUCGAGAACUUUUAAGAGCUCAUGAGAAACUACGCUUUCAAAAGCUCAAUCUUGAGCAAGAGCAUGAGUUCUUAAAGGCAAUCAAUGAUGAUCUCCGCAAGAAAAGUUCUUCUUACAUUGCCAAACGUUUCCUCUUAUCCACUUACAUGCCUCAAGUCAAGUCUAACAAGAAAGAUUCUUCCUAGUAGUAACAAUGAUCAUGCUAAAUCCAAUAUUGUUGCUUCUAGUAGUUCUCUUGAUUCCAUUAAUGAUUCUCUUAGCCAAGUUACACUUGAGCAAGAAAAUAGCUUAUUGAAGGGAAUUAUAGAGAAAGGAGUGUACAAAAGCCUUGCCAGGAGUAAGCAAUUCGAGGAAAUUGUGCGCAAGCAAGGAAUGCACCGGAAGAAUCAAGGUGUUGGUUUUGAACGAAAGUUCAAUGCCAAUGGAGUUGAAUGGGAAGAAGAUCAAUACCCCAAGACAAAGUUUGUCCCUCAACAAGAGAAGUAUACUUCUUUCAAGGGGACACAAGCUCAAGAUGAUCUUCCACCAUAAGACUACGAGCAAAAAGGCAAGGACAAGCUUCAAGAGGAAAUUGAUGCAUUUGAAGAAGCUCCUAAGACCUUAGUCAAGUGGAUUCCCAAGACUACUUCAAGUUCCACUUCAUCAAGUACGACUACAACUCCAAGGAUUCCCAUCAAGAUGAUGUGGAUCCAAAAGAAGAAGAACUAGAGAGUUCUUGAGGGUGACUCCGCCAACAUACUUCACUCUUAUCAUUUUGGCAAGAACAAGUGCAAUCAACUUCCACAUCUUGCACUAGUUCAAGGAGUCACAAACCCUCUUGUUGGUAAGACAAGGGACAAGGUAACCUAAAAGUUUUCAUGGACAUCAUCUUUUGUGUGCAUCACUCUAUGUCUAUGGAUAUCCUUGUUUGUUCCUUGUGGGACUAACCCAUGUAGGUAUUGAAAGUGCAAUUCACUCAAAUGGAUAGCUCCAAGAGAUCUACAUCAACAUUGAGCAUCCACAUCUUCAAUAUCUACAUGAAGUCAUCAUCGGCAAAACCCAAAGUUAGUUCAUCCCUCUUAGGGGGGAUAUCACAUCUAGGGGGAGCUUUACUCUAAGACUUGAGCUAAAGCAACUCUAAAGAUGUGAACACAACAAUGCUUUAUGUAAAAGUGGUAACCCCACUUGAGCUUAAACGAUGAGUAUGACCUCUAAUCAAGUGUUCUCACUUGACUCCUAAGUCAAUGUACUCAUAUAUAGAUGACCUAGUCAUCGCAAAUUGCUUGAUAAAUGCUAGAAUUGGUUGUGCAUGCCUUGCCACAUAUUUCAUUUGCCAUCUUAUUGUGUGAGCAUGCUGAUUGCAUAUUUUACUCAUUCAAGGACAUCCAGUUGUUGUUUUGAUUGCUUGGUUUUAUCCUCUUUUGCCAAGUGGAUGGACAAGAAUGCCUAAGAACGUCCUCUAGCUAUCUAUGCUUUUCUCGUCUCAAACUCUAUUCAUGCUGCAUCACAAAAUUUGAUCAAGUCAGAUUCGAACCACUCUGUGUGAGGAGCGCUCGGAGUCCCCGAUUCGUCAUAGACUUAAACUUCCAAAACCUCUUUAUGAUUCUCGGUCUAACCGAUACUCCACUUUCGGUCCUACCGAGAUCAUUAAGUUGAUCUAGGUUUUCGAUCUCGGUGCAACCAAUUUGAACCUUUCGGUCAUUCUGAGUUUCAGUAACUGCACGCAGUUAUGAAUCUCGAUGCCACCGAGUUGUUCCACUCGGUCACACCGACAGGGUCGGGCUAUAUAUAGUCACGGGCAAAAUUUGGAAACUUCUCCGAACCCCUUCGCCCGCGCGAUAGCCUGCUCUGCCCUCAAGGUCUCCAGAUCGUCUUCUCGCCGCCAGCAGCCUCCAGUCACUGGUCUCCGUCGCCGUCAACAGAAAUUCUGCCCCGCCGUUGGCGCCGUAGCAAGUCCCUGCCGAACUAGGGUAUGGACUUGAUCUUUGUGCUAUUCCUCAAUCUGAUUCCUAGCACAUUAUGAUCAUAUUGUUUCUAGCCACGUUUGAUAAACUUCUAUCUAGUCAAAACGCUCAUAGAUUAGGUUUGAUUCGAAAAUUCUAGGUUUAGGUUUCCGCCGAAACUAUCUCGGACCCACCGAGUUGAAAAACUCGGUCCCACCGAUUUGGCUUAUGCCAUUGCACAAGUGAGACUCAGUCUGACCGAGAAUUACUUAUCGGUGUGACCGAUUUUUGAACUCAGUGAAACCCUAGCAGUCUCGGUGCCACCGAACUAUGACUCGGUCCUACCGAGUUCACUAAUUUAGGUUCCAAAACUGCUUUGGUAUCACCGAGUUUGAAAAUCGGUAGAUCCGAGAUGAUUUCAGUGGGAAACUAAAACUAAGUUUUUGGAUCAUUCUUUUUGCAAAAAUCUCUGCAUUUUGUGAUGCUCAUCCACUCUAUCUCCUCUAUAAUCUAUUCACAGGGUCAGCAGUCAGUUUGCAGCAUGUCAGACCAGAGUGAUAGCCAGAAUCUGUCAGAGCAGCAAGUGGUGAUGAGUAAGGGCACUAGUCCCUCCAGUUCAUCUGAUGAAGGCAGUAGGAGCACUCCUAGCAAUUUGCCAAAGGCUGCCACGAGACAUAGGAAGAAGAAAACUUCAGACUCUGAAGAUGAGGACUAUGUGGCAGAGGAAGAGGCCACUUCCAAGAGAAUUGAACCAACUCAAGGCACUAAGCCAAGUCUGAAAAUCAAAAGGCCAGCAGGCAGGCAGCCCAUGUCAAAGGCUAGAGCCUCAACUGAGAAGCCCACUUCCCAAGAGCCAGCUACAGCUAAGGGCAAGAAAAGGAAGGAGAGGGUGAAGAAGACUGUGGCUAGAGUGCUUGGCAAAGCUUCCAUCAUGGAAGAGGAAGAGGAAGAAGAGGCAGCUGCACCAGCGCCCAAGGCACCCAAGCUAAUGAGAGAUGCCAUAAGGUUAGGGGGAGUUGCAUCGAAGCCCAAGGAAGCACCUAAGGCUGCAUCUAAGCCUAAGAGUGCACCAAAGAGAAACACAAGAAGCAUCCCAGCCACUGAGAAGAACAAGGCCCCAGUGCCUAAAGCUGCAGAGGAAGAGGAAGAGAAUGUCCUUCGGAAGCUCAAGCCCAAGAUCCCAGACCACAACGAUGCUCAUCCUGUGGCUGAGGAUAUGAAGCUCAGGAGGGACUCAGGGCUCAGGAAGUGGAGAGAAGCAGAUCCAUAUGCUUCUAGGAGAAGGACUGCAGUGGACUACAGGUUUCAUACCAAGGAGCAGCAGGAUUUCUAUGAGACAGUGCUACUUGACAAGAAGCCAAUUGUAUGUGACAUGAGAUGGGUCGACUGGACCUAUAUCAAGGACAAUGAAGAGUACUACCCUGGAGUAUUUGACAGCUUUAGUGCGUGUGGUGUUGCAGACUUUGUUGGGCAGAAGCUCACAAAGUGGAACGAGGAGCUAAUCAUGCAAUUCUACUCCACAGCACACUUUUAUCCGGAUGGCAGGAUCACAUGGAUGUCAGAGGGUACAAGGUACCACUCUACUGUUGAGGAAUGGGCGAAGCUGAUCAAUGCCCCAGAGGAGCAAGCAGAUGAUUUGGACAUUUAUGCCAAGAAAAAGAUGGACCACAACUCCAUGUCCAACAUGUACAAGGAGAUUCCGAAUGAAGCACUUGACACGUUCAAGUUUGGCUCAGUGCAUUAUCUGCUAUCAGGAUUGCCUACGAUCAACUGGAUCCUUAGGCACACCCUUCUGCCCAAGUCUGGAGAUCACAAGAUGAUUAGAGGUCACGCGAUCAAUUUGCUUCAUGUCUUUGACGUGCCUCAAAAAUUCAAAGUCAUGAGCCUCAUAGUGGAAACAAUCAAAAGGACUGCGGCAGAUCAGAAGAGGAGCUGUGGAUAUGCCCCUUAGAUUCAGGAGCUCAUCAACUCCAAGAUGGGCACGGGCGUAUAUUUGUUGGAUAAGGAACACCUGCCCAUCCGUCCAGAUUUCGAAGAUAAUCAAGUUGUUAUGACUGAGAAUGAACCAUCAUCUGCCCAUGCACAAGCUCAGAAGGAGAAGGCGAAGAAGGAGAAAGCUGCCAGGAUGCCUACUCAAGCGGAGGCAUCUGAUUACUUCCUGAAAACCAAACAAGAGCAGCUUGGUUACCUGAUUGCGUCCACCCUGCGGAUUGAGCAGAGUAUAGCCACCCUCACUCAGAACCAGGCAAGUUUAGAGAGGAUCAUGGAACAGAGGUUCUAUGACUUGGACAUCAAGGUGACAGAGAUACAGACUGCCGUGGAGCAGCUCCAGGAGGACAUGAAUGAGAGGAGAGGCAGGACCACGACUGAUGCUUUUGCAAGGGUGCCACGAGGUUCGAGGUCGUCUGCACUGCCAGUUGCUGACACCAGAGCUACAACGUCUGCACCAGCCACAGCCUCAGUUCCACCAGCUCGAGCAUCCACUUCAGCCUCGACUCCAACCACGUCUACCGAAGGCUUCGUCCUUGGAGUGCUCCGGACUCCACCACCACCUGAAGAUCAAGCCUGAGCGUCGAUCUAGUGCUAUGCAUUUUCUAGGAACUUUUUGGUAACUUGUUGCCAAAGGGGGAGAAGAUGUAUAGAUCAUAGGCUUCGAGAGAGAGAGUGUUGCUUUUCUCUCUUGCUUUAUUUGGUGGUUUUUCGAACUUAUCUGCUUUUGAGUGCUUGAUACUACGUCAUUAUUUGUGAGACAUUGAUGAUCAUGUGUUUGAUCAUAAGCUAAACUUAAUGCUUGCUUAAUGCCAUUAUCCUAUCUAUCUUGUGUGAUCAUUCAUUAUUCUUGGUGAUGAGUGCAUGUAUUUCAUUCUUAUCAUUUUGAGCGCUCCACCAAGAUGUACGUGACAUGGAAGAGUAACCCAUGACUCUAACUCUUUGUGCAUUUGCAGUCCAAAGGAAAUUUUAAAUAUGCACAAAUUUAGGGGGAGCUCUUAGUUAUCACAUACUUCUCAAAGCGACGAUAUAUUUCAUGCUUAUUAUCAUUUGUCGAAGCUUUGAUCUGUAUGUUGUCAUCAAUUACCAAAAAGGGGGAGAUUGAAAGUGCAACUAUCCCUAGGUGGUUUUGGUAAUUCAUAACAACAUAUAGCUCAUUGAGCUAAUGCUAUUCCAAGAUGAUUAUUUCAGGAAAGCUCAAUGAUUGGCAUGGCAUGGAUGUGAAAGUGGAACCCUCAAAAUGCUAAGGACAAAGAAUUGGCUCAAGCUCAAAAGCUCAAGACUCUUCAUUUUAUAUUUUAGUGAUCCAAGAUCACAUUGAGUCUUUAGGAAAAGCCAAUACUAUUAAGGAGGGAUGAGGUGUUGCUUAAUGAGCCUCUUGCUUCAUGUGCUUAGUGAUAUGCUCCAAAACCCUCAACUACUUUCCCAUAUCCACAUAUGACCUAAACCCUAAGCCAAAAUCGGUCCUACCGAUUCUUCCUAUCCGGCGCCACCGAGUUUCACUUGUCAUUAGCCACUGCCAAACCCUAGCAAUUCGGUUCUACCAAUAAGGAUCUCGGUCUCACCGAGAUGGGGUUGCAAACUCUUUGUUUCCCUUUCGUAACUUUUCGGUCUUACCGAAAGAGCGAAUCGGUCCCACCGAGAUUGCAAUGUAAACUCAGUGUUUCCCCUUUGUAACUUUUCGGUCUCACCGAGUUCCACUCGGUCUCACCGAAAGAGCAAAUCGGUCCCACCGAGUUUGCCUGACCAACUCUCUGGUUAGCUAAUUACCAAAUUCAGUCUCACCGAGUUUGUGUAAUCGGUCUCACCGGAUUACGUUAUGCCCAAACCCUAACCGAAUCGGUCCUACCGAGUUGCAUGUCAGUCCCACCGAAAUUCCUAACGGUCACUAGGUUUACUAUUUCGGUUAAACCGAGUUUUCUGAUUCGGUCCCACCGAGAUUGGUAAAUUGUAUGUAAUGGUUGGAUUUUGUGUGGAGGCUAUAUAUACCCCUCCACCUCCUUCUCAUUACAAAAGAGAGCCAUCAGAACACACACACCAUUCCAACUCAUAUGUUUGAGAGAGAACCACCUACUCAUGUGUUGAGAUCAAGACAUUCCAUUCCUACCAUAUGAAUCUUGAUCUCUAGCCUUCCCAAGUUGCUUUCCACAAAAACCCUCUUUCCACCAAACCCAAAUCCUAUGAGAGAGAGUUGAGUGUUGGGGAGACUAUCAUUUGAAGCACAAGAGCAAGGAGUUCAUUACCUACACACCAUUUGUUACUUCUUGGAGAGUGGUGUCUCCUAGAUUGGCUAGGUGUCACUUGGGAGCCUCCGACAAGAUUGUGGAGUUGAACCAAGGAGUUUGUAAGGGCAAGGAGAUCGCCUACUUCGUGAAGAUAUACCACUAGUGAGGCAAGUCCUGUGUGGGCGAUGGCCAUGGUGGGAUAGACAAGGUUGCUUCUUCGUGGACCCUUUGUGGGUGGUUGCUUCUUCAUGGACCCUUCGUGGGUGGAGCCCUGUGUGGACUCGCGCAACCGUUGCCCUUGGGUGGAGCCCUGUGUGGACUCGCGCAACCGUUACCCUUUGUGGGUUGAAGUCUCCAUCAACGUGGAUGUAGGAUAGCACCACCUAUCCGAACCACGGGAAAAACAUCCGUGUCUCCAAUAGUGUUUCAAUUCUCCAAACCCUUCCCUUUACAUUCUCGAAAGUUGCAUGCUUUACUUUCCGCUGCCCAUAAACUCUUUGCAUGCUUGCUUGAGUGAUGUGAUGAUUGCUUGACUUGUCCUAAAUUAGCUAAAAUCUGCCAAGAACUAAAAUUGGGAAAAGGUUAAGUUUUAUUNNNNNNNNNNNNNNNNNNNNNNNNNNNNNNNNNNNNNNNNNNNNNNNNNNNNNNNNNNNNNNNNNNNNNNNNNNNNNNNNNNNNNNNNNNNNNNNNNNNNNNNNNNNNNNNNNNNNNNNNNNNNNNNNNNNNNNNNNNNNNNNNNNNNNNNNNNNNNNNNNNNNNNNNNNNNNNNNNNNNNNNNNNNNNNNNNNNNNNNNNNNNNNNNNNNNNNNNNNNNNNNNNNNNNNNNNNNNNNNNNNNNNNNNNNNNNNNNNNNNNNNNNNNNNNNNNNNNNNNNNNNNNNNNNNNNNNNNNNNNNNNNNNNNNNNNNNNNNNNNNNCCCCCCCUCUAGACAUACUUUUGAUCCUAUAUAUAUAUAUAUAUAUAUAUAUAUAUCUAAUUGGAUGUAGGGGAGCAUGAACCAUUAUUGUUGACAUUACCCUUGAGGUAAAAGGUUGUGGGGCAAAACUAUAAGCCACUAUCUUUCUCAGUGUCCGAUUAAAACUCCGUAACCACAAGUAUUGCAUGAGUGUUAGCAAUUAUGGAGGACUAAAUGAUAGUUGAGUAUGUGGACUUGCUUUUUAGCUAUGACAUAGACUCUUUCCGAUGUUAUGAUAAAUUGCAAUUACUUCAAUGGCUGAGAUUAUAGUUUGUCGGAACCCAAUAAGGUUUAUGAUUUAUACUCUUGCAUUGUGAAUAGAUCAUCACUUGAAUAUAAGUAAUCAUAUGACAAAAGCUAUAUAUGUUGCUGUUAUGAGAAUAAUCAUGAUGCCUUCAUGUCCGUAUUUUAUUUUUUAUCGACGCCUCUACCUCUAAACAUGAGGACAUAUUUAUUGUUAUCGGCUUUUCGCUUGAGGACAAGCGAGGUCUAAGCUUGGGGGAGUUUAUACGUCCAUUUUGCAUCAUGCUUUUAUAUCGAUAUUUAUUGCAUUAUGGGCUAUUAUUUCACUUUAUGUCACAAUACUUAUGGCUAUUCUCUCUUAUUUUACAAGGUUUACAUAAGGAGGGAGAAUGCCGGUAGUUGGAAUUCUGGUCUGGAAAAGGAGCAAAUAUUAGAGACCUAUUCUGCGCAACUCCAAAACUUCUAAAACUCCACGGAACAUCUUAAAAGAAAUAAAGAAAAAUCCACGCCAAAGAUGAAGGCCAGGGGGCCCACACCCUGCUCACGAGGGUGGGGGCGCCCCCCUAGGGCGCGCCCCCUACCUCGUGGGCCCCCUGGUGGCUCUCCGAUGUCCAUCUUCUCCUAUAUGAGGUCUAUCGAUGAGAAAAAAAUAAAAAGGACCUUUUCAGGACGAGACUCCGCCGCCAUGAGGCGGAACCUUGGCAGAUCCAAUCUAGAGCUCUGACAGAGCUGUUCUGCCGGGGAAACCUCCCUCCGGGAGGGGGAAAUCAUCACCAUCAUCAUCACCAACGCUCCUCUCAUCGGGAGAGGGCAAUCUCCAUCAACAUCUUGACCAACACCAUCUCAUCUCCAAACCCUAGUUCAUCUCUUGUAUCCAAUUUUUGUCUCAAAGUCCGGGAUUGGUUCUAGUAGGUUGCUAGUAGUGUUGAUUACUCCUUGUAGUUGAUGCUAGUUGGUUUAUUUGGUGGAAGAUCAUAUGUUCAGAUCCUAUAUGCAUAUUAUUACCCCUCUAAUUAUGAACAUGAAUAUGCUUUGUGAGUAAUUACAUUCGUUCCUGAGGACAAGGGAGAAGUCUUGCUAUGAGUAGUCAUGUGAAUUUGGUAUUCGUUUGAUAUUUUGAUAAGAUGUAUGUUGUCUAGCCUCUGGUGGUGUUACGUGAACGUCGACUACAUAACACUUCACCAUUAUUUGGGCCUAGAGGAAGGCAUUGGGAAGUAAUAAGUAGAUGAUGGGUUGCUAGAGUGACAGAAGCUUAAACCCUAGUUUAUGCGUUGCUUCGUAAGGGGCUGAUUUGGAUCCAUAUGUUCCAUGCUAUGGUUAGGUUUACCUUUAUAAUUUUGUUGUAGUUGCGGAUGCUUGCAAUAGAGGUUAAUCAUAAGUGGGAUGCUUGUUCAAGUAAGAACAACACCCAAGCACUGGUCCACCCACAUAUCAAAUUAUCAAAGUAUCGAACGCGAAUCAUAUGAACGUGAUCAAAACUAGCUUGACGAUGUGCCCAUGUGUCCCCGGGAGCGCUUUUCCUAUUAUAAGAGUUUGUUCCGGCUUGUCCUUUGCUACAAAAGGAUUGGGCCACCCUGCUGCACUUUAUUUACUUUUGUUACUCGUUGCUCGUUACAAUUCAUCCUAUCACAAAACUAUCUGUUACCACUUAUUUCAGUACUUGCAGAGAAUACCUUGCUGAAAACCGCUUAUCAUUUCCUUCUGCUCCUUGUUGGGUUCGACACUCUUACUUAUCGAAAGGACUACGAUAGAUCCCCUAUACUUGUGGGUCAUCAAUAGGCUAACGAACGAACGUUCACUGUCUAUGACUAACGGGUGCGACAUUCAUUAAAAUGAACGAACGGACGAACGAACGUCCGCAAAAUAAGUAAACCAACAGAAAAACCGAUCUAAUAAAUUAAACCGGAAAAAUAAAAAAAUAGAUCUAGAUCUAGGGUUUACCGAAAUAAACUGNNNNNNNNNNNNNNNNNNNNNNNNNNNNNNNNNNNNNNNNNNNNNNNNNNNNNNNNNNNNNNNNNNNNNNNNNNNNNNNNNNNNNNNNNNNNNNNNNNNNNNNNNNNNNNNNNNNNNNNNNNNNNNNNNNNNNNNNNNNNNNNNNNNNNNNNNNNNNNNNNNNNNNNNNNNNNNNNNNNNNNNNNNNNNNNNNNNNNNNNNNNNNNNNNNNNNNNNNNNNNNNNNNNNNNNNNNNNNNNNCCAUAGGUCGGUUACUUUUUUUUAUAAAUUUCGACGUGCAGAAAAAAAGGAAAUGAAUACUAAACGGACUCCAAAAAUCUCGAAAUAAAUUUUCCCAGUCCUCUAAAAAUAUGCCGGACAAGGUGAACAUUUAUUUGGGCCAAAAAUACAAUUUUGAAAAACGUGUAUUUUCCUAAUUCAAAUAAAAUUGCAAUAGAAACCAAAUGAAAUCAUUUAUUUGAUUUUAAUAUUUUUCCUCCAAUAUUUCAUUUAUUUUGGAGAAUUCAUAUUAUCUCCUCUCAUGUAUUUUAAUAUGAAAUAUUUUCGGAGGGAAAAAUUAAUUAAAACCAAAAUGAUCCUUGUUUCAAUAUUUGAUAGAAUUCAAAUAUGAAAAUUGUGAAAUCCCCAACUCUCUCCGAGGGUCCUUGAGUUGCUUAGAAUUUCAAGGAUCGCGAGACGAAAUGCAGCAAAAAUAUGAUAUGCAUGUAUGACCUAUGUAUAACAUUCCAAAUUGAAAUUUUGGGAUGUUACAAACCUACCCCCCUUAAGAUGAAUCUCGCCCUUGAGAUUCGGGUUGGCUAGAAAAUAGGUGUGGGUGGUCUUUGCGUAGAUCAUCCUCUCGUUCCCAGGUGGCUUCAUCCUCCGUAUGGUGGCUCCACUGAACUUUGCAAAACUUAAUAACCUUGCUGCGAGUAACCCGGCUGGCAAACUCAAUAAUCUUGACAGGUUUCUCCUCAUAUGUCAAGUCAUUAUCCAACUGAAUUGCUUCUAGGGGCGCUGUAUCUCUUAGAGGAAUAUCGGCCAUCUCUGCAUGGCACUUCUUCAACUGGGAAAUGUGGAACACAUCAUGUACUCCCGAUAGUCCUUCGGGUAACUCCAACUUGUAGGCAACCUCUCCCAUACGUUCCAAAACACGGUACGGUCCCACAAAUCUCGGGGCUAACUUUCCCUUAACUCCAAAACGCUUAACUCCUCGAAGAGGAGACACUCGCAGAUAUGCUCGGUCUCCGAUUUCAUAGACUACUUCCUUGCAUUUUGAAUCUGCAUAACUCUUCUGUCGGGACUGAGCUACCUUCAGUCUAUCCAGAAUCAGCUUACCCUUCUCUUUAGAUUCCUUAAUCAAAUCCGGUCCAAACAACUGGCGGUCUCCAACUUCAUCCCGCAUCAACGGUGUUCGGCAUCUUCUUCCAUAUAGGGCUUCGAACUGUGCCAUCUUCAAACUGGCCUGGUAGCUGUUAUUGUAGGAGAACUUCACAUAGGGCAGGUUGUCAUCCCAACUAGAUCCAUAAUCUAGCGCAUAAGCUCUCAACAUGUUCUCCAGAAUCUGAUUGACUCACUCCGUCUGUCCAUCUGUCUGCGGGUGAAAAGCUGUACUGAACUCCAGCCUGGUUCCCAAAGUCUAGUGCAGCUGGUGCCAAAACUUUGAAGUAAAAUGUGUUCCUCUAUCUGAUAUGAUGGUCCUCGGAACUCUGUGCAGACAUACGAUCCUGGUCAUGUAUAUCUUGGCCAACUUUGCACUAGUAUAGGUGGUUUUCACUGGGAUAAAGUGAGCUACUUUGGUCAAGCGAUCCACUACUACCCAUAUAGAAUCAUAUCCCGAUCGGGUCCUGGGUAAUCCGGUGAUAAAAUCCAUGUCAAGCUUAUCCCACUUCCAUUCGGGUAUCGGCAUAGGCUGCAGUAAUCCCGCUGGCUUCUAAUGUUCUGCCUUCACUCUCUGACAUACAUCACAUACGACUACAUAGUCGGCAAUAUCCUUCUUCAUACCCGUCCACCAGAAAUGCUCCUUCAAAUACAAAUACAUCUUGGUGUUUCCGGGGUGUAUCGACACUACUAGGAAAAGGAUAAUUAGUGGCGCACCUGUUUUGGCCAUUAAUGGCGCACUACAGGUGCGCCACUAUUAACACGCCACUAGUAACAAGUACUAAUGGCGCACCCUGAUGCGCCACUAGUAUCCCAAAUAAUAGUGGCACACCUGGCAGUGCGCCAUUAAUAUGUCCCCUGGUGCGCCAUUAUUAUGCCUCCCAGGGGGCCAUAUUUACCUUGUGCUCUGGGUUACUAAUGGCACACUUCUAGAUAAUGCGCCACUAGUAUGUUUAUUGCAGUGCACCACUAAAGUGCAGUAUGGUGCGCCACUAGUAUGAAUAUUAGGAAUUUUUUUCUUUUCUGAUAUUUGCACAGGUUACAAAAUAUAUUACUGCAUAGAAUAUGGACAGCACAACAUAUAAACAACAGAUUUAUCGAAUACAAUAUAAGAUUAGUCUCUGAAUACAAUUCAUCAUAUUAGUCUCCGAAUUCAAAAGAUCGAACAAAGUUAGAACAUUACAAUUCCCGAGACCGCGAGUAGCGAGUUUGUCUUCACAUUACAAGUCGAUAUCGAUCAUCUAAACUACCAUCACAUAGAAGAGAGCUGCGGUCAUCACGAUGAGCAUCAUCGCGAUGAAAUUGGUCUUCAUCCGGUUCCUCCUCCGCUCCCUCCUCUCUCCCGCUAGAUAGCGCGCGUAUCUAACUUCCGCCUCCGCCCUAGUGGUGUACCCUUUGUAACUGUUACCGCUGAAACGGUGAACCUGUCUCCGACACUCCUCCCAGUCAUCGUAGACUCCGGGAACCUUACCCUUGUACACGACAUACGACGACAUCUCUAUGCACUAGACAAACAAAACGUUAGCAGCAAUUCACAGAAAAUACAUAAGCAAUAUACAAGUAUGCAACAAAAGGAUCGGAAGAGAAAAGAAACACAUUAAUAGCACGAUUCAUGGUCCUACUAAUAAAUAGCAUCAAUUACAUAUAAGUUGAACGACUGUCCAAACCAAAGAUACAUACAAGUUCAUUAAAGUUUAAUUACAACAUGAGCUAAUUGAUAUUUCAGAACUACAUAGCAUCACUACUUUUGACUCAACUCAGGGACCGAAGCGUGGAUGAAGCCGACGUCUUUCGUGAUGGUCAUGAAAUCGUAAUCGUUGUCAGCCUGCAUUUGUAGCGUUGUUUAUAUUUCACUGUUGGAUGGUUGAUAUUUGAGGUAGAACUGCCCCGAGGUACGAAGGACAUCUUGAUGGAUGAUUUCCGUAAACUCCGACUGGAUGCGAAAGAAUUCUUGUCUGAAGUCCGCAUCCUGGAUUGCCGACAAGCGUGCGUCCCAAUCUUUGAGACUAUUUGGUAGCAGAAGGUGAUUAUGGUCCCGUACGAUCGCCCGCAUAUGAUGGCGGGCAUAUUAGGCAUUCUUCUGACCGUCAGGCGGCUGCUUGAUGCAGGGGAACGUCGUUACGUGGGUGAACACGUGCUUGCCAUACCUAAAAAUUGGCCUCCUGAAGGUGCCUCCAGAUCUGGCGUAGCUGGGGAGAACAUCAUCAAGAACUUUCUUGAUAUUUGUGUAGUCUUUAUUCGGCUGAUGGUCCGAGUCGAAAUACGUGGCCAUGGAAUAGUUCGGGCUUAAGAGGAUGAGUGUGCAACAUGUGUCACUUCACAAAACAUGGAAUGUUAGAGAAAAAAAGAAUGAUCGAAAUUUAAGAAAUCAUAUGUUACGGGGUGGUGAGGGGAUGACUUACUCGGGAAAGUAAGGCACGAGGAAGCUAUCCUUAUCUGGGUUCGCCAGAAUGACGCCUUCGAGGUAUGAACUCGCGACUUGCCGGUCCCCAGCGCUGCCCGAGAGCUUGGCACACAUGUAGAAUGGGUCAACUAUCACGAUGUUCGGGGUCUUGUCUCUAAUGAUCCGCAUCUCCAUACUUAGCGAAAAUAGCUGAAUGAAGGUGUAGUGCAGCGGAUGAAGGUUAAACAUAGAGAAGAUGUCAUCAAACCGCAGGACGAUCAUACCCCCGAUGGCGCUAUCGACAAAGCCCUUGCCCUCUGGCACCUUGGCCAUGAAAACCGGGUAUACCACAUCAUUCUCAGAGAGACGCCGCUUCUCCAAAGAAAGAACACUGUCAUGCAGACUCCGCAUAGCACCAGUUGCAGCAUUGAGCUGAUUAGUCGGUAGCAUCGGCCUAGCCGCCACAUGCACCCUCUUCGAGACAUCCUUAGAUGAAGGUGGCCCGUCCUAAGCACCGAUCGUACUCGGUGCCGGCUGGCUCGCACCCUUGUUAUUCUUUCUUUUCUGUCCCUUCUUCUUCUGCUGUAAUGGGAUCGAGUUCUGCUCAGAGACCACCUUCUUGAGUGUGUUGGGGCUGAUAAUAUUUCGCACCUCGGCUAUCCGAGGCCCGGUGAAGGCAGCAGCUGGAGGCGUGUCCUGAGAACUGAACGCCAGACGACGCCUCUUGCAAUUGGGUUUAUCCGCAGUACCAGCUAGAUCGCAAUCGUCUUUUGCAGGGUUGGGUUCUUGAGAAGGAGGGCCCAAGAAUUCGUCAUUGUACCCAUGUUCAUUGAAGUACUUAUCGACCCUGGUAAAUGUACCGUCGUCGUCGUCCGGAUCCUGUGCCAUAUGCAUGUCCGUAUCGUCCAUAUGUUCGUCGUCAUCGUUCGGUAGUGUUGCGGCUCUCUUGCCAUGGAUUGGCGCCGGCACGACUGGCGGUGUUAUCUGUGGGGUGGUGUCCCCCGCCGCCAAAUGAAUCUAGCUCUUCGGCCAAAGCAUGGACCAGCUUAUGCAGGUGCUGAGGGUCAUCACAUCAUCUUCGUCGGCCCCAGGUGGGUCGAUGCGGAGGUAACAAGUCGUCGCAGCCCCGCAGCACCCGAACCAGUUGAACUCUAUACACAUUGGGUGGCAUCGGAUUACCGUGGAAUAGGCGGUUGCCCAUUUGAACGAUUCUGGCCUUGGCGACAUCGAUCAACUCGCCGUCCAUGAAGUGCAGGAGAGUGCAUGGAACGUCGGCGACGUCCUGCGAAAACAUGUAGGGCGUUAGGGAUGCCCAAUCAACGGCAAGGAGAUGAAGUCAUCGGCCGAGAGGCUUAGUUACCGUGAUAGCGUCGAGCUCGGCUAAUGUCGAGGCACCGCCAACCGUGGGUGUGCAAGUGACAGAGGGGCCGCUUGCUGCCGAGGUGCCGGCCGGCGUAUUCUUCCCACACCAGGGUGCAUUAAGCUACAAUGCUGGCACCGACACUGGAGACACCAAUGCUGCCUCCGCCGGAGACACCAAUGGCCCCGCCGGCGCGUUGUGCGAGUUGCUGCCCGUGAAGCUGGGAAUCAGGGGCGGCCCCUCUUGGCCGCCCGCAAUCAACGCCUGCAGCCCCUCAAGCAAGGUAGGCAUAAUGGCGGUGAUCGUCGCUCCCAGUUGGUCUCGCACUUGCUCUUCGACUAUCUCCGCAAUCCGCGCCACUUGUGCCUUGAGUUCUUGAACCUCUUGCUCCUGGAUUUCUGAGCUGGUCUUUCUCUCCUUUCUCCUAGCGGUAUAGUAUUCCGACCAUUUCGUGGACAAGCCUUUGCCGGCCACACGACCAGCUGACGUCGGCUUACUAAGCUUAUCCUUGUGUUUCAUUACGUCCAACGCCCUAUUUAAAGUGGUGUCCCAAGGGGAGCUCUGAGACGAUCCCGCGCUACUGCUUUCAGUUUCCUGCGGAAGGAACGUGAAGCAUUUAGAAAAUUGGCUUCAUUAAUUAGAAUGAAACCAUAUGGAGCUAAUUACGCGGGGGUGUAUUCCUUACCAGAACAAGCUCAAGCGCCUUGGUCUUCGGAUCCGUGGUAAGCUCCUUGGUUACCGGGUCAAUCUUGUAUUGGGCCCUGACAUAGUUCCUAGUUUGCUUGUCAUGGUAUUUAUCGAAGAGGGGCGGUAGGCCUUGCUCGGCACGCUCCGCGUCCUCCUUGUCCCAUAUAGGUUCCGCCACUCUGUAACCGCUGGGACCAAGUUUGUGGACCCCUAAGUUCAAGUCCCGCAUAUCUUUCCCCCACUGACUUGAUUCCGCGGUUGCGUUGCUCUCGCACUUGAUCUUGAACUCCAGGUAGUCAGCUUCGCUGAUCGAAGGAUUUGUCUCCUCGAUCUUCUCGUAACUAUCACCUUUUUCAAUCCUUCUCUUCACCGCAGCUCUCUAAGUAGCCAGGGCCGUGCUCAUCUUCUUGAGGGCGGCACUGUUCACUUUAUUCCUUGAGAGGCGUGUGUUUGCGAAGUCACCGGGGAACUUGUAUCGUUUGUGCAACUUCGUGAAGAGGAGGUUGCGCAAAUUCCCUCGGUCACGAUGCCUUAGGUUCUCGUUGUUGAUCGAGACGGUGCUCCGGAGAAUGCACCCGAGCUGUCCUGCGUACGCCUUGACAAAUUCUUUGGGCGCCGUUGGCUGCCCACUGGAGGACAGUUCAGUAAAUUCCUCCUUGACGGUGCCGAGCAUGUUCGGGCGCCAGUCCUUGUGUUGCCUCUUCGGUUGGCUGCCAUCUGUGCAUGCGCUGCCAUCAUCAGUGGUGGCAUCCUCGGCGGCACCAUCGGUGGUGUCAUCCCCGACGCCACUAGGGGUUGUGUAAGCGAGAUUGGUGUCUUCCGCGGCGUCCUCAUAGCGGUGAGGUUCUUCCUCCAUCUCCUGGGACAGCUCCCAGAAUUGCUUGCUCGAACCGCCGGCCUCAUCAUUGUGGGCCAUGUUUCGCUCUAAAUAGGAAAACAAUUUGGUCAAAAAGUUGGUUAUUGUCAAGGAACAAGAUCUCUAAGUUGACCAAAUAACCUAAUUCUCGAGGAAUGUCGCCAAAAAGUUGGUUAUUCUCAAGGAAAAAUUGAGAGAUGUUUGUGAUAUUGCCUAGGUGUUUUGGGAUGGAACCUGUUAGUGUGUUGUUGCUAAGGUCCAAGUCCCUUCCUAACCCCCUUCUUCUUGUCUACUCUCACUAUCUCUCUCACACACAUGGCAAGCAAGGGUGUCCGAGUGUGUGAAAAAAUACUAAACUAAUCCAAGGGCUGAAAAUUGAUCAUCUGUUUCAGAUUGCAGUUUUCUUUCUUGGGGCUUCGGUGUGCGGUACAAAACUGAAUUUUGGAAAUCUACAGAAUGAACAAGCUAAGGGCUGCAAAUGCCCGCAAGGCUUCAAGGGUGAUGGCAUAAUGGCUCAGUGUUAUUUAAGGGUUGGUUUGUGAGGAAUUAUCAUGGUCUCAUCAUUUAGGGUUUCUUGAUACCGAGGCAUCCUAAAAGCUAAGCUUUUAUCAUUUAGGGUUUGUCGAUGCCGAGGCACCCUAAAAUCCUAAGCUUUCAUCAUUUAGGUUUUUAUCGACACCGAGGCACCCUAAAAGCCAAGGUUUUAUCAUUUAGGGUUUGUCGACGCUGAGGCACCCUAAAUGCUAAGUUAAGUUUUCAUCAUUUAGGGUUUAUCGAUGCUGAGGCACCCUAGGUUGACUAGUAUAUAUGGGUAUCUUCUAAUAAUAUACCCUAUCAAGUAUGGCGCAAUAGUUAAAAAAUAGCCAACAGUGACAUGCAAGUCUUGACAGAAAAGGGAAGGGGAAUUCUAAGUCGGGCCUAAUCACUUGGCUCUAUUGCCACCUAUGGCAGUUGCAUAUUAGUUGUGCAAAAAAUUUAAGAGCGGGCAGUAAUGAAUAAUAUUUAAUGGGAUACCUCAAAAAGUUAAUCUAGUAUCUCCAUUUAACAGUUUUCAACUAGAAAGUGCACAAAGUGCAACAAACAGAUUACUUCAACCCCCCAAACAAUAAUGAUAACAUUCUUUUCCUGAACUAUAAACGACUCAUAGAUUCGUCUGUCCACACAUGAAUUCAGCAUAUGUGUUUAGUGCAGCAAGAAUAAAGGGACACAACAUGUCAAAAAUCUCGCAUCCAAAAUUUCACAAUUGAGCCUAACGUGACAGUGCAUAUAUAACCAGGCUUAUGGUGCAUUCUACUUUGUAGUUGUCAAAACUGUAUUUGUCAGACUUAACUAAGUUAACUGUUAUCUGCACACCCUAAUCUUUUUAUCCGAGUAACACAAAAUAGACAUCUCAACACUUGCAUUUGCAAAUAUAACACCAUGAGACACUUCAACUAGGUACUUCUUGAAGGACAAACACCAAGAGAUAGUAAACAUAUCAGCCGUUGAUAGAAGAUUCAGAACUACUCCUUAGCUUGAGCUUCUGAACUAGUACUAGCAAACCUAGAAUAAUGGCUCAAAUGCUGAACUGUUUGAGCUUCUGAACUAGUACUGGCAAACCUAGAAUAAUGGCUCAAAUGCUGAACCUAGAAUAGAUUAUACCAUUAGUAAUAACUAUGCAUUGCUCAUGUUGUAAAAAGGCACAGAAAGAGAGCAAUUGACAUUAGUAAUAACUAUGAGUUGAUAUGACACUUCUAUAUGUAUAACACAAGAGGCAGUUGAUCCUACUUAGUUAAGUACUAAGAUACCCCGGCCCAUGCAUUAGUCGCAAGUACCCCAUAUGUCCUAUUUUUAGCAAAGUCAUGCUAAAAUUCACGAAAAAAUUCAGCAUGACCUUCGCUGAAAAUAGGACAUAUGGAGUACCUGAAUUUGCCAGAACGGAAGUUAAUCGACAUUCCGGCAAACUCAAGGGCCCCUCGGGGUACCUGCAAAAUCAUUUUCCCACCCGCCCCGCUGCAACCCCACAACACCCCCCAAUAUCAUCACGACACGAUGGUAUUAGACAAAACCCCCCAAUAUCAUCACGACACGAUGGUCGGAGACAAAACCCAACAAUAUAUCUUCUAGCCAUGAAACCCUACCCUGAUUGUCCUUUCUUCCUCUUUUUUCACUUAAACCUGCAAACAUGUAGGGAAAGCAAUUAAUACAAGGCACAAAAAUGGCAUGCUAUUUAGCCCUAAUGCUACAGAACAUAUGAAAUACAUGCUAGCAAUAUAUAUGAUAUAAACUCCAAUAAUUUUUGAAUAAAAACAAUAGAUAAAAAAGUAGCAAGCAAGCAAUUCAUUUGACUAACUAUUUAAGUGUUCUGGACUCCAACAACCACUUUGCAGACAAGCAGGAAAGUGGUUCUUCAUGGAUAGCUGAAAGUGGUUCUUCCUUGUGGGAUGUGUGAUCUAUGAUGGUGCUGUCUUUUUCUUAAUUGGCUUUGCUUAAUCCUAUGAGGAGCACUAGAUUGAAGCAACGGCUCAGAACAUGUCAACUGCCUGUGCAGGCAUAAAGCAUGUUGUUGGGAUGGAGGUGGUGGAAUCCACUUGUUAUCUGGCUAAGAGGUUGAAGUUGGCACUGAUUAGUGCUGAAGUUGGCACUCUUUAAAUUCAGAAAAGAAAAGGCACCACAUAAUAUUGAUGGACAGGGGAAAGCUUUGCAAUUGCACCCACAAGUGUCAAGCACCAACUUAAUAGCCACUCCUAAUAAAUCCUUCCCAUGACAGUACGACACUCACUCUCGGUUCGACACAUAAUAUUAUUCUCCCACAUUAGCUAAAAUGGCUAAAACUGAAUGCGAUAAUCCUAGUGUUCUCUUGUGGUGGUGGUGGUGAAAUGCCCAUAUCAUGCAUUGGUGGGCAACAAUGAUUAGAUUAAACUGUAACCAGGCACAUACUUACAGCUGUUUCCUAACAUGAAAAAGGAGUGAACCUUUGGGUACAAAAGAGUGGAGUUGAACGGUGCAAACAAAAAGAAACUGAUAAAAAAAGAUGAGUGUUGUGGUCCUGGGGGUGGAAGAACAUGACAGGGCUAACCGACGAUUACUAACUCGAUCAAAAAGUGAUUAUUGCCCAUGGAAAUGGCACCAAAUCCCUCCGGAUCGUUAACAAGGGAGGAUGCAGACAGGGGACUUCAAUCAAUCGAGCACCAGGAGCACAGCAGCGUAACCAGAUGGAAUGGAAUCGGGUUGGAAGGGCAACUAGCAAGCAACAGGCAGAGCAGUAGUGUGGCGGUAGCAGAGAGCAGUAGUGUGGCAGCAGUAGAGAGCAGCAUCAGCAGCAGGAAAGAGCAAUGCCAAGGCAACAGCAAGCAGCGGCCAAGCAGCGAACAUCAACAACAUCAAUAGUGCAGUCAACAGAGCAAGAGCAGCAGCGGGGGCGGCGCGACAACAGUCAGCACGGGCUCGUGCGAGAGGCAACGGGCGGACGAGCACGGGCGAGGGAUGGCCAAGGGCGCACAGGCGGAUGCGUGCCCAAGGGGAGGAGCAGCGGGGAGGGCGUGCGCCGGGGCGCGACAAAGGAGCCCGGGGGCACGGGCCGGCUGUGGGGUGAGCGCGAGGUCGACGGGGGCGGCUUAAGGCGGCCUAUGGAGGCAGAUCGAAGGGGGGAACGGGUGAGGGACUCACCGCAGAGAUCAUGGCAGGCUCAGUGAAGGCCGGGGUGGACCGGAGAGACGAUGGUGACCGUGAGAUGGCGACGGCUGGACGAAGAAGAAGGACUCCUCCUCCUAGUGCUCCGACGGUGACUCCAGCGGCGGAGUGGGCGCGGGGGUUGUCGAGUGCGGGGGGUCGUCGGCGACGGUGGAGAGCGGGCGCGGGGGGUUUGCUCGGCGGCGGUGGAGAGCGAGAGCCGGCAAGGGAGAGCUGGCGAGGGAGGGGGAUCGAUCUGGCGAGGAAGGGUUAUCAAGGGGGAAGGUUAGCAAUGGCGCACCUCCUAGGGGUGCGCCAUAAGUACUUUGAUAGCAAUGGCGCACCUUCCCCUGGUGCACCAUUACUAACCUUUUUUGGAUUUUUAGUUGCAUCUAAUAUAUUUUUAGAAAAUGACAAUCAAAUUUGAAAACAUUUAUGAAUGUGAAAAAAUAUCAACUAAUUUGUUAUUUGAAAAUAUUUAUGAAUAUGAAAAAAUAUCAUCAAAUUUGUUAUUUGAAAAUAUCAUCAAAUUUUUUAUUUGAAAAUAUUUGAAAAAAUAUCAUAAAAAUUUGUAUACCAAUGGUUCACCUCCUAGGGGUGUGCCAUAAGUACUUCGAUAGCAAUGGCGCACCUUCCCCUCGCGCGCCAUUACUAACUUUUUUUUGGAUUUUUAGUUGCAUCUAAUAUUUUUUUAGAAAAUGACGAUCAAAUUUGUAAACAUUUAUGAAUGUGAAAAAAUAUUAUCAAAUUUUUUAUUUGAAAAUAUUUAUGAAUAUGAAAAAAUAUCUUCAAAUUUGUUAUUUGAAAAUAUCAUCAAUUUUUUUGGAUUUUUAGUUGCAUUCAUUUGUGAAUUGGUAAAACAUUUAUGAAUAUGAUAAAAUAUCAUCAAAUUUGAAAAAAUAUUCAUGAAUUCAAAAAGUGCCCAUGAAAUUCAAAAAUAUUCAUGAGUUCAAAAAAUAUUAACAAAUUUAAUACUUUUUGUGAGUUAGAAAUUCAAUACUAGAAUAAACAUAAAUAAAUAUUCAUGAGAACUAGAACAGAAGAAAUAUCAUUUCAAUAUGUCGAAAUACAAUCGAGAAAUGAAGACUACAAUUUAAAUACAAUCGAUCUUAGCUAGCUAUCUUUUCACAAUCUUCUUGCCCUUCUUUUUCGCAAAUGGAGUUCUUCUGUUGAACGGACGUCCUUUAGGUAGGGUGGUCCUGCUUCUUUUUGUGGUGUAUGGCACUGCAACGUCGUCGUCAUGUUCCAUCUUCGGGUCGCCGUACUUGUCGAAGUCUUGCUCAUUGGCGACUCCAUCCAUUUCGUUGAUCUUCCUUUUGCCUCUCCUCACAACAACACAACUGGGCUUUAACUGGUAGGUAAUGAAGAAGCAUUGGUCCACUUGGGAAGACAGUACACAUGGCUCAUUUUUCGCGGUGACGUUUGCGCCCGCGGUCUUGGAUUUUGCUUCGGGUAUAACCAUGGUGGUGAAAUACCGGUCUUCUUCUAGGACGCUCUUGGCCCAUCUGACACGGAACAUCGAGACCUUCUCUCCAGCAUAGCUCAGCUCCCAGAUCUCCUUGAUCCUACCGUAGUAUCUGUCCUUGUCGUUACCGGUGUAUGAUUCCAUCAUUACCCCGGAGUUCUGAUAACCAUCGCUCUUCAUGUCCUUGUCCUCGGUGUAGAAUGUGUAGCCAUUGAUAUCGUACGCCUCUAAGGUCAUCAGGUUGUGCUCGGCGCCCUGUGACAAGGCGAAUAUGAGUUUUUCUUCCGCGGAAGAAUCCUCAUGUAAAGGGUACAACAGAAGCUUCUCCUUGAACCAGUGCGUGAAACAUGAGUUGUGCUCUUUGAUUAUAUCUCCGGCCGUCCUCUGUUGGCCUCAGUCAUUGUAUGUCUUCUCAAUAAAGGUUUUGUGCUCUACCACCCAAGGAUCGACCACGUCUAUGUGUUGUAGCGCGACUAGGUUUGCUCUUUCAAAGUCGGCGAGUCGACCCUCGAAGUCGACAUGCAUUUCGUGGAGACCAUCGCGGUGACCCCAUCCAGCGAGCCUGCCGAGGUGCCUAUUGAUAGGCAGACCAACGGGGUUCUCGAUGCCUAGAUAAUUCGUGCAGUAGGAGAUGCACUCUUUGGUCAGAAAGCCCCUGGCUAUGCUUCCCUCUGGACGUGACAUGUUGCGAACAUAUCCUUUGAUGACAUCAUUCAUCCUUUCGAACGGCAUCAUGCUUUGCAGGAACGUUGGCCCAAGUUGGAUGAUAUCCUCCACGAUAUGGACCAGUAGAUGCACCAUAACAUCGAAGAAUGCAGGCGGGAAGUACAUCUCAAGCUCGCAUAGUAUCACCACGAUCUCUUCCUGUAGCCUUCUGAGUUGGCUCAUGCCAACCGACUUCCGAGAGAUGACGUCGAAAAAGUUGCAUAGGACAAAUAGCAUUUCACGGACGUGCGCAUCCAUGAUCCCACGAAUUGCAACUGGAAGUAUCUGUGUCAUCAACACGUGACUGUCGUGAGACUUCAUCCCGCUGAACUUCUGCUUCGCUGAGUCUAGGUAUCUGCUUAUCUUCCCCGCGUAACCGUAAGGAAGUUUUACUCCUAUGAGGCAGGUGAAAAACUGCUCGAUCUCCUCCUGACUUAGAGUGAAGCAUGCGGGAGGGUAGUCAUUUCCGAUCUUCUUGGACUUUUUGCCUUUGCGACGACUUUCUGUGUCCUGCUUCGCCUCAUAAUCAUCAUCAUUAGCGUGAAGCUCCUCCCUGAUGCCCAUUGAUUUCAAGUCUGCCCUUGCUUUCGGCCCAUCUUUGGUCCUCUCUGGCAUGUUGAGCAGGGUACCAAGCAGACUCUCGCACACAUUCUUCGUGAUAUGCAUGACAUCAAGGCUGUGAGGCACACGGAGGAUCUUCCAGUACGGCAAGUCCCAGAAAAUAGACCUCGUUUUCCAUACCUUCAGCAACGACUCUGGCGCCUUUCGCUUCUUUCCCGGCUCUGGCGCCUUUUGCUUCUUUCCCGGCAGUGGGCAAUCUUUCCAAUUUUUCAACAGCUCGCCUAUUUCCUCGCCGCUCCUCGUACGCGGGCGUCUUCAGGGUUCGGUUUCACCAUCGAACAGAUCCUUGCGUUUUCUCCAUGAGUCAUCGUCGCGAAGCCAUCUUCGAUGUUCCAUGAACACGGUUUUCGAAGUCCCAGGAUCUCUAUCUAGCUGGUAGUACGUUGUGUCAUCCAUGCACCUGACGCAUCCAGAAAAUCCAUAGACCACCUGCCCCGCGACAUAUCCGUAACCGAGAUAGUCGUGCACCGUCGUGAGCAGUGCGACUCUCAUAGGGAAAUAUUCUUUCUCCGCAGCGUCCCACGUAUUGGCUGGCGUUUUCCACAGCGUGUGCAGCUCCUCUUUCAGCAGCCCCGGAUACAGAUUGAUGUCAUUCCCUGGUUGUUUUGGCCCUUCAAUUAGCAUACUCAUGUGAAUGUACUUCCUCUUCAUGCACAACCAGCGGGGAAGGUUGUACAUCCACACAAACAUAGGCCAGGUGCUAUGUGUGCUUCUCUGGCUGCCAAACGGAUUGACUCCAUCGGUGCUCGUGCCCAGCACAAUGUUCCUUGGAUCGUCCCCAAAUUCUGGGUGUUCGAAGUUCAACGCUUGCCACUGGCUCGCAUCCUUAGGGUGACUCGACAUCUUGUCUUUUUUAUUUAUCUCCGGAUCAUUUCCGUCAUCUUCUCGCUUCUUCUCCUCCCUAUCCGCGUGCCAACGCAGGAGCUUUGCUAGCUUAUGGUCCGCCAAAUACCGCUAUAGACGAGGAGUGAUCGGAAAGUACCACACCACUUUUCAAGGAGCUUUCUUCCUCUUCUUGUAUCGAGUGACGCCGCACACCGGACAUAUGGUAGACUCCACGUGCUCGUCCUGAUAAAUGAUGCAAUUGUUCAUGAAGACAUGGUAUUUCGCAUGCGGUAAAUCUAGAGGACACACGAUUUUCUUCGCCUCCUCGAAACUGGUCGGGCACUUGUUCCCCUUGGGAAGACGUUCGUGCCAGAAUGACAUGUUCUCAUCGAAGCAUGCGUCGGUCAUUUUGUGUUUUACCUUCAUCUCCAGAGCCAUGAGCAUUACUUUCAGGUGGGUAUCCUCGGGCCUGCAUCCUUCAUACAAUGGAGUAACCGCGUCUAUCUCCAAUUGAUCCAGCUUGGCUUUCUCUCGGGCAUCUUCCUCAUCAUCAUGUCCUUCAUCUUCUCUAGCAUCUUCCUCAUCAUCAUGUCCGACAUCUUCUACAUGAUGACUGUGUACUGCAUCUACUUCGUGAUCAUGUCCUGGAGAUUCUUCAUCUUCUCGCCCGCCCUCACCGCGGUUGUCUUGAUGCCCUUCCUCAUUUCUUUCCCGGCCACCAUGGAUGACAUCAUAAUCAUCUUCAUCACCUUGCCACCGAUAGCCAUCCAUGAAACCAUGCAAGAGCAGGUGGUCCCGCACCUGUACGGAAUCCGGGUCCAUAAGGCUCUUCAGCUUGCAUCUUCGACACGGACAUCUUAUCUCCAUCUUGUUCUUUUGAAGCAUCUCGGUCUUCACGGAGCUCAAAAACCUAUUCACGAUGCCUUCGGUCAUCGUGCGGACCAUGGUCGCCUGCGGGGUAGAGCAAAAUGAUAUUUUAGACCCAAAUUUUUUUUGGCAUGACUUUGCCUAAAACUAGGACCAAAAAGAAUGCGUAGUGCCAAAUUCUCGCCAAAACGGAAAUGAAGUAACAUUCCGGCAAAAUAUUGGCAACUAUCGCAUUUGAAAUACCAGUACCUGCAAACGCAAACAUAUGCAACACCACAAACAUACGCAACACCACAAACAUACGUAGAUCUAGGCCAUAAAAAGUGCAUGUGCACGUUGUUGGAGGGAGAAAAAAAUAGAUCUACAACAUAAAGAAAGCUUUCCCCUUACUUACCUAUCAAAAAAAGGUAAUUUAACCACUUAAUUUGGGUGAAUCUAUGGUGCAAAUGAGGUGAGGAGGAGGUGGCAGCCGAGACAGGCUUGGAGGAGGAGGUGGAGAGAAUGAAGUGGGGAAAGUGAGUGUGGUAGGUGGUUGUCCAAAAUAUCUAGCUGCUCUCAGGUUACCAAUGGCGCACCACCUAAAAAUGCACCAUUAGUAACCCUGGUUACUAAUGGCGCACCUGUUACGUGGUACGCCAUUACUAGUUUUGCAAAAAAAAAUUGUUAGUAGUGGCGCACCGUGGUUGUGGUGCGCCAUUACUAGUUUGAACUAGUAAUGGCGCACUAUACACUGGUGCGCCAUUACUAGUUUUGAAAAAAAAAUUAAAAAAAUUUGUUAGUAGUGGCGCACAGAGCGUGUGGUGCGCCAUUACUAGUUAAAACUAGUAAUUACGCACUAUGCCCUGAUGCGCCAUUACUAGUUUUGGAAAAAAAAUGUUAGUAUGGCGCACCGUGGGAGUGGUGCGCCAUUAGUGAUAUGGACACUAAUGGCGCACCUACACAUGGUGCGCCACUGCUAUAUAGCAGUGGCGCACCACAUAUGUGGUGCGUCAUUGAUGUCCAUAUUAGCUAUAGCCCUUUUCCUAGUAGUGCGAGUACGGCGAGUCAUGAGCUUCCUGUAGUAUCAACUUCCUGAUCUCUGCAUUAUUGAGCACAUAUACAUGGUCCUCAAACCAUAAGGUGUCAUGCUCAUCUUCACGAAAACUUUUGGCAUUUCGUUCACUCGUCUUCUCCUUUAUCUCGACAAUUUCUUUGUCAUCCUUCUGAGCUUCUCGGAUCUUUCCCAAUAAUGUAUACUGAACUUCCAUGGUUGUAACAAAAAUUUUAGGAACUAUCUCCAAACAAAGUUCCCUGAGAUCCUUUGCUAACUCCUUUGGCAUUCCUUCGCUUACGAGGGUGUUGACGUAAGUCUUCUAGCUCAAAGCGUCUGCCACAACAUUGGCCUUGCCUGGAUGAUAAUGCAACUUCAUAUCAUAAUCUUUUAUGAGCUCCAACCAUCUCCUCUGCCUGAGGUUUAGCUCCUUCUGAGUGAAAAUGUACUUCAAACUCUUAUGAUCCGUGUACACAUCACAAUGAUUUCCAAUAAGAAAAUGUCUCCAGGUCUUUAGUGCAUGCACUACAGCGGCUAACUCCAAAUCAUGCGUGGCAUAAUUCAACUCGUGCGGUUUAAGUUGUCGUGAGGCAUACAAAAUAACUCUUCCGUCUUGCAUAAGUACACCUCCAAGUCCUAAGCGAGAGGCGUCGCAAUACACUUGGAAAUCUUUGGGUAUAUCCGGCAGAAUCAGCACUGGGGCUGUAGUCAAACGUUUCUUCAACUCCUGGAAACUUUCUUCACAUUCUUCAGUCCAAUGGAACUUGGUGUCCUUCUUCAACAACGUCGUUAUAGGCUUUGCAAUCUUAGAGAAAUUUUCAAUGAAUCUCUGAUAGUAUCGCGCGAGUCCAAAAAAACUACGGAUCUCUCCAACUGAGGUGGGUGCCGACCACUCAGUGACUGACUGAACCUUGGUGGGAUCCACUGCUAUACCUUCUCCUGAUAUAACAUGUCCAAGAAAUCCAACUUCCUUCAACCAAAACUCGCACUUGCUGAACUUGGCAUAUAACUGAUGUUCCCUGAGCUUCUCGAGAACUUAACGCAAAUGCUCCUUGUGUUCAUCUUCAUUCUUCGAGUAUACCAAGAUAUCAUCAAUGAAAACCACAACAAACUUAUCCAAGAACUCCAUGAACACCUUGUUCAUCAUACUUAUGAAAUAGGCAGGGGCGUUAGUUAGUCCGAAUGACAUAACCGUAUACUCAUAUAGCCCAUACCUUGUGGUGAAAGUUGUCUUAGGUAUAUCUUUUUCCCUAAUCUUCAGCUGGUGAUAUCCUGAUCGCAGAUUGAUCUUCGAAAACACCAUUGCUCCUUGCAGCUGGUCAAACAAAUCAUUGAUCAUCAGCAGUGGGUACUUAUUCUUGAUCGUUACUUCAUUCAAUGCCCAAUAAUCAACCACCAUUCUUAGGGACUUAUCCUUCUUCUCAACCAAGAGCACUUGGGCUCCCCAUGGUGAUGAACUUCUUCGGAUGUAACCUUUUUCCAAUAACUCCUUAAUUUGUUUAUUAAUCUCCUCCAGAUCGUUUGCGGGCAUCCGGUAUGGUCUCUUAGAUAUUGGCCCGGUACCUGGCAACAGCUCUAUCAAAAACUCUAUGUCUCAAUCUGGCGGCAUGCCUGGUAGCUCCUCUGGAAAUACAUCCGGGUAAUCCUUCACGACAGGCACUUCCUCCUGAACAACUCCCGUGAGAGAACGUACUUGGGUUCUCCUUGGCGAAUUCCUGGAAACAUACUUGAUCCUUUUUCCCUCCGGGGUGGUAAGCAGAAUCGACUUACCAGCGCAAUCGAUGUUUCCCCCAUACAUCGAUAGCUAAUCCAUUCCUAGUAUCACAUCCAAUCCUUGUGACUCCAAAAUUAUCAGGUCUGAGGGGAAAACAUGUCUUCCAAAGGUCAAUGGCAUCUGAAAACAUCCUUGACUUGCCAUAUACUCGGCUCCUGGCAAACUUACGGAGAUGGGUGUCCUAAGUACCUUAGUGGACAACUUAUACUUAUCCACGAAUCCCCUGUAUAUGUAUGAAUGCGAUCCACCAAUAUCUAGAAGAACAAUUGUAGUAAAAGACUUAACCAAAAACUUACCGAUAACUGCAUCUGGCUGCUCCUCAACUUCCUCCACAUUCACGUGGUUCACUUGUCCUUUGUUGAAAGGGUUGGCUUCUUCCCAGCGCUUCCAUUGCCAUUGCCAUUCUUCAAUUCCGGACAAUCGUUGGCGUAGUGCCCAGUCUUCCCGCACUUGAAACAAGUAAUGUGACUUUGAUCCUUCUUGGCGGGUGUGGCUGGGUUAGAGCGGUUCUGAUUGCUACUUGCUCCAUUCCCAUUCCCAUUCCUUGGGCAAUUAUGGUUAUGCGAACUUCCUCCACUGUGGGUGUGGCCUCCAUGGUUAUGGGAAAGUCCUCUCGAGUUCGGGGUGAAAUGAGGCUUCUGCUGAGCUCCAAAGUUGUACUUUCCUUGUCCAUGCUUCCUCUUGCGGCUCUCAAUCUGAUGUUGCUUCUCUUUAAUCAUAAGAGCCUUGUCUACUAACUCCUAGUAGUUGUUGAAUGUUGCCACCAUCAACUGCAUGCUCAUCUCAUCAUUUAGCCCUUCCAUAAACUUCUCCUGCUUCGCGGCAUCUGUGGCCACAUCAUUAGGGGCAUAACGAGAUAGCUUACUAAACUCAUCCACGUACUGAGCCACAAUAUGAUUUCCCUGGUGCAAGUUGCGAAACUCACGCUUCUUCAUGCUCAUAGCUCCAGUGGAUACGUGGGCUAUGCGGAAUGCUUGCUGAAACUGAUCCCAAGUGACAUUGGCUAUAGGAAAAGUGGUUGUGUAAUUCUCCCACCAUGAGGCUACUGGUCCAUCCAACGGAUGUGCGGCAAAACGCACCUUCUCAGCAUCUGUGCAACCUGCGGUGGUCAACUCCCAUCCUAUCCUGCGCAACCAAUCAUCAACAACUAUGGGCUCGGUGCUACUGGCAAACACCGGCGGCUGCAACCUCAGAAAGCGGGCUAAGUUGUCAAUUGGAGGUGGUGGCGGUGGGUUAUUGUUGGUGUUGUUGUUGUUGCCUUGGUCCUGAACUAACAACUGCAUCAAGGCAUUCUGCUGCUGGAUCAACUGAGUGAGCUCCGGUGGGAAAGCAAAUCCGGGGUCACGUCUCGGAGGCAUCUGAUGGGUUUAGAGGAAAGAGUUUAGAAUAGAAUGAGGUCUAGUGAGACAACACUACCCUAUGCACAUGAGACAAACACAAUCAUUUCACUGAAUCAAUCAAGCAGGGGCAUACAAUCGGUCUAGAACUAUCGUUAAAAGUGUUCAGACUACUACUAUGUACAGGGGGAAUACUACUAGUCAUAUGGUGGUCAUCUAGAAAUUUUGAUCGGUGGAUCACUAGUGCAGAACCGGGCUUUAGCGUCGGUUCAUAAGGGGCUUCAGUGCCGGUUCCACAACUGGCACUAAAGAGUGGGGACUAAAGGUCCCAACCUUUAGUACUGGUUCAUCACGAACCGACGCUAAAGUGCCACCACGUGGCACGAGCCAGGCCCGGGUGCGCGUAGGACAUUAGUACCAGUUGGUAACACAAACCGAUACUAAAUGUUUGGGUGUGUUUUGGUUUUUAUUUUUAGUUUUUACUUUAAUUUUGUAUUUUCAAUUUAAUUUAGUGAUUGUUUUACAUUAUAAUGAGUUGCUAAAUCAUUAGGUGAAAGUACCGCAGAUUAGUUUGACUGGAUGCAUGUGGAUCCUAGCUAAGUCAUCAAGUAUAUGCCAUAUCCAUAUUAUACUUGAUCACCUAAUUAAGUGAUCAGGUAAUAUGGAUAUGGCAUAUACUUGAUCACUUAGCUAGAAUCCAUCCAGUUGAAACUAAUCCGCGGUUUCUUUCAUAAAUGAUAUAAUAACUCAUCAUCAUCAUCAUCAUCAUCAUCAUCAUCAUCAUCAUAUUAAUAUAAAAACUCUUGCAUAUCAUAUAUAUCAUCACCAACAACAGUUUUCAUAGCUAGCUAAAAAUCAUCAUAUAUAGUCGUCUCUUUACCACUACUUAAUCAUCAUAUAGCCAUUACCGCUAUCUAAUCACCACCAAUGCUAGCUUAAAGAAGAAACAUUCACUUGUACCAGAAGCAAAGAUAUCAUCGAGUUCAACAUGGUAAUGAUAUUAUAAUCGUUCAUAACACCACAAAAGCAAAUCACUCUUUGAGAUUAAGUUCAGGACGAAGAACACGGACAUGAGAGGACAAGUACUAAGAGAAUGAACUAGCUAAUCACUCCUCCUGCUCUCUCUCGGGUAAAAUAGCAUAGAACAUGUAUAGCUUUCCUGAUUCAUCAUAUUGGAGCAUGCAGAUGAACCUGUAUCCUAAUCAUGGGUUGCGCUUCUGAUUGCUGCCCCCUAGUACUUCUCUGCGAUCGUUCACAAUUUUGCUCCAAUCUUUUACUAUUAAGCAUUCCUUGCUAUUAGAAAACCUGAAUGCACUAAAGUGCAUUGUAGGAUAUCUUGGCCGUAAGCUAACAACAUUCAUGGUACCUUUAGUCUCGAUCCAAUCAGGCACAACAUUCAUCGGGAGUCCCUGUUGAAGAACAUCAUAUAGUAACAUACUUAGCAAUGAAGUUUAGCUUAAAAAUAAUGUAUGCAAAAGAUGCACUGAGGAGAAAUAGUAGAAAUCUUACCAUCUUUCCUAAAUAUAUGUGACCGUAUUUCAGUACGAACACUAUUGGUCGCACGUUUUGAGUACUAACAUUUCUAAGUGCAGAAAUUUUUUUUUGUCGUGACAGCAUCAAGAUCCUCAAGCCAUGAAACAUAAUGACUUGUCUCCUUGCAGUUUAGUUCAGCCCUGGGACAGUGGACGGUCCUGUCUACCAAGCACCGGACAUAUUUGCUUGAUUGGAAAUAAGUUGUCAAUAAAAAUUACUUGUCAACUCCUUUUGAAUAAACAAUAUCGAAGACAUAAAUAUAGUUGAGAAACUCACAUAAUGGUAGAACUGGAGGCGUCUGCACAUCGACCCAUAUGUCUCUGUUACAUUCAAUAUCAUCUUCCGGACGAAUAUCAAAGGUGAGAACCAUAUCAAGCUCAAAUGCAUAAGCCUUGCAUAGUGCUUGCCAAGUUUUGCAUUCAAAAUAGGUGUAUGUGUCUGCAUUGUAUAAUUUGACGUUGAAGGUAUAACCAUGCUCGGUCUUCAAGUAAACUUUUUUUACCUCCAUAGUUUUGUCAGGACUGAAACGUAUCUUAUCCAAGACAAAAAUUCUUGCAUGGCAGGGGAUACGCUAGUAGAAUCGUGAAAAAUUAAAAUUAAAAGUUGAAGCAAAUGAAGCAUAAGUCAUGCUUAAUUACGAAAAAACUUGUCGUUAUGACUUACUGUAUCCACUUCAAAGUUCUCAUCCAGCUUGAUGCUGAAGCGCCUAUCAUCAACUAGAAAAUUUCUGCCGCACAGGCCGCGCUGGUCUUCACAGUAUUCGCACAUAAUGAAAUUGUGUUCGUCGGCAGAUGACAUUCCUAUGUUCAUAGGUGAAACAUUAAACACUUAUUAGUUCUAUUAAUUCAACUAAUUCAAUUAAUCACUUACGAAAAAUAUACCUAAAUAAAUUAGCUCAAAUAAUUCAACUAACUAGUUCAACUAAUUAAUUCAACUAAUUCAACUAAACUAGUUCUAUUAAUUUUCUUACUAAAAAUAAGCUGGCUAGUUCUAUAUAGUAAAAUGUUAAUUAGAUGAUCAAAUCUCUAUANNNNNNNNNNNNNNNNNNNNNNNNNNNNNNNNNNNNNNNNNNNNNNNNNNNNNNNNNNNNNNNNNNNNNNNNNNNNNNNNNNNNNNNNNNNNNNNNNNNNNNNNNNNNNNNNNNNNNNNNNNNNNNNNNNNNNNNNNNNNNNNNNNNNNNNNNNNNNNNNNNNNNNNNNNNNNNNNNGAAAAAUAUACCUAAAUAAAGUAGCUCAACUAAUUCAACUAACUAGUUCAACUAAUUAAUUCAACUAAUUCAACUAAACUAGUUCUAUUAAUUUUCUUACUAAAAAUAAGGUAGCUAGUUCUAUAUAGUAAAAUGUUAAUUAGAUGAUCAAAUCUCUAUAUAAUAAAGUAGGUAGUUCUAUAUAGUAAUAUUUUGAUUAGAUCAUCAAAUCUCAUAUACCUAAAUUUUCUUACUAAAAAUAAACUAGUUCUAUUAAUUCAACUAAGAAUUUACUAAAAAUAAACUAGUUCUAUCAAUUUUCUUACUAAAAUAUAUAAAGUAGCUAUAUAUAGUAAUAUUUUAAUUAGAUCAUCAAAUCUCAUAUACCUAAAUUUUCUUACUAAAAAUAAACUAGUUCUAUUAAUUGAACUAGUUUAGUUAAGCAUUUACUAAAAAUAAACUAGUUAUAUUAAUUCAACUAGUUCAAAUAAUNNNNNNNNNNNNNNNNNNNNNNNNNNNNNNNNNNNNNNNNNNNNNNNNNNNNNNNNNNNNNNNNNNNNNNNNNNNNNNNNNNNNNNNNNNNNNNNNNNNNNNNNNNNNNNNNNNNNNNNNNNNNNNNNNNNNNNNNNNNNNNNNNNNNNNNNNNNNNNNNNNNNNNNNNNNNNNNNNNNNNNNNNNNNNNNNNNNNNNNNNNNNNNNNNNNNNNNNNNNNNNNNNNNNNNNNNNNNNNNNNNNNNNNNNNNNNNNNNNNNNNNNNNNNNNNNNNNNNNNNNNNNNNNNNNNNNNNNNNNNNNNNNNNNNNNNNNNNNNNNNNNNNNNNNNNNNNNNNNNNNNNNNNNNNNNNNNNNNNNNNNNNNNNNNNNNNNNNNNNNNNNNNNNNNNNNNNNNNNNNNNNNNNNNNNNNNNNNNNNGCGCGAUGGGCGAAGGCGCGACGGGGGCGACGAGGGCUGCGCUCGAUGGGCGACGGCGUGGCGGGGGCGGCGAGGGCGGCGCGCGAUGGGCGACGGCUGGGGCGACGAUAUCGGGCGAUGAAGUUGGAUAGAAAAUGGGCGGCGGAUAAAAACUGAAUUUUUCGUAAGUGACAUAUAUAUAGGAUGGACCUUUAGUACCGAUUGGAGCCACCGACAGGUACUAAAGGCCAAUUUUGGCCAGGUCAAGCGGCGGGAAGCGGACCCCUUUAGUACCGGUUUGUGCCUCAAACCGGUACUAAAGGUCCCCCAUUAGUACCGGUUCGAGCCACGAACCGGUACUAAAGGGGUUGCGCUGCCACCCGCGGCGCACAAUUUUAGUCCCACCUCGCCGAGCGAAGGGCAGCCGCACUCGUUUAUAAACCCAGCCGCGGCUGCUCCUUCGAACUCCUUUAUAUAGCAGGCUUCUGGGCCUAACUAUGGCAUGCUUCCCUGUGAGCUGUCGGACCUUCUAGGCCUGAAUUUGCACACCCUAGGUCUGGCAGGCCCACUGGACAGCGCCCCAACAAUUUUUUUAUAGUUUUUCUUUUCUACAUUAUUUAUUUUCUUCAAUUUAUUUUUGAGUAAUUUUUUAUAUAGUUUUUUCUUUUCUUCAUUAUUUAUUUUCUUCUAUUUAUUUUUGAGUAAUUUUUUACAUAGUUUUUUUCUUUUCUGCUUUAUUUAUUUUCUUCUAUUUAUUUCUGAGUAAUUUUUAUAUAGUUUUUUCUUUUCUGCUUUAUUUUCUUCAAUUUACUUCUAAGUAGUUUUUUCCUGUAUUUAGUUUCUUUGUGACCCUCUCUACUCUUUCGCACAUGCUAUGCGGGUGAAAUGAUGAUACCAUGGCAAGUUUCAACAUUUUCAGAGUUCAUUUUGUAGUGAUUUUCAAUUUCACGGACAUUUAGCUCUCUAAACAAAUCGGUAAAUGACUGAAAAACAACAAAUGAUGUCAGAACGUGUUGGAAAUUGAUGACGUUGCUUUGAAUGCUGCAUACUGAACACAAAAGAAGUCGGAAUUUCAAAUAAGUUUUAAAAACAUUGAACUGCCCGUGUAACAGAUGAGUUCUCGUCCGAAACCCUGAUACUCCGAAAGAGAUUGUCCAGUUUGUACACGAAGUGCAUCCAGUUUUUGCCGUGACCCUCUCUACUCUUUCGCACAUGCUAUGCGGGUGAAAUGAUGAUACCACGCCAAGUUUCAACAUUUUCAGAGUUCAUUUUGUAGUGAUUUUCAAUUUCACGGUCAUUUAGCUCUCUAAACAAAUCGGAAAAUGACUGAAAAACAGCAAAUGAUGUCAGAACGUGUUGGAAAUUGAUGACGUCGCUUUGAAUGCUGCAUACUGAACGCAAAAGAAGUCAGGAUUUCAAAUAAGUUUAAAAAACAUUGAAGUUCCCGUGUAACGGAUGAGUUCUCGUCCGAAACCCUGAUACUCUGAAAGAGAUUGUCCAGUUUGUACACGAAGUGCGUCCAUCGUGACCCUCUCUACUCUUUCACACAUGCUAUGCGGGUGAAAUGAUGAUACCAUGCCAACUUUCAACAUUUUCAGAGUUCAUUUUGUAGUGAUUUUCAAUUUCACGGUCAUUUAGCUCUCUAAACAAAUCGGUAAAUGACUGAAAAAUAGCAAAUGAUGUUAGAACGUGUUGGAAAUUGAUGACGUCGCUUUGAAUGCUGCAUACUGGAUGAAAAUAAGUCGGGAUUUCAAAUAAGUUUAAAAAACAUUGCAGUGCCCGUGUAACAGAUGAGUUCUCGUCCGAAACCCUGAUACUUCGAAAGAGAUUGUCCAGUUUGUACACGAAGUGCGUCAAGUUUUUGCCGUGACCCUCUCUACUCUUUCGCACAUGCUAUGCGGGUGAAAUGAUGAUACCAUGCCAAGUUUCAACAUUUUCAGAGUUCAUUUGUAGUGAUUUUUAAUUUCACGGUCAUUAAGCUCUCUAAACAAAUCGGUAAAUGCGUGAAAAACAACAAAUGAUGUCAGAACGUCUUGGAAAUUGAUUACGUCGCUUUGAAUGCUGCAUACUGAACGCAAAAGAAGUUGGGAUUUCAAAUAAGUUUAAAAACAUUGAAGUGCCCGUGUAACAGAUGAGUUCUUGUCCGAAACCCUGAUACUCCGAAAGAGAUUGUCGAGUUUGUACACGAAGUGCGUCCAGUUUUUUCCAUGACCCUCUCUACUCUUUCGCACAUGCAAUGCGGGUGAAAUGAUGAUACCAUGCCAAGUUUCAACAUUUUCAGAGUUCAUUUUGUAGUGAUUUUCAAUUUCACGGUCAUUUAGCUCUCUAAACAAAUCGGUAAAUGACUGAAAAACAACAAAUGAUGUCAGAACGUGUUGGAAAUUGAUGACGUCGAUUUGAAUGUUGCAUACUGAACGCAAAAGAAGUCAGGAUUUCCAAUAAGUUUAGAAAACAUUGAAGUGCCCGUGUAACAGAUAGGUUCUCGUCCGAAACCCUGAUACUUCGAAAGAGAUUGUCCAGUUUGUACACGACAUGCGUCCAAUUUUCGCCGUGACCCUCUCUACUCUUUCACACGUGCUAUGCGAGUGAAAUGAUGAUACCAUGCCAAGUUUCAACAUUUUCCGAGUUCAUUUUGUAGUGAUUUUCAAUUUCACGGUGAUUUAGCUCUCUAAACAAAUCGGUAAAUGACUGAAAACAGCAAAUGAUGUCAGCAUGCUUUGGAAAUUGAUGACGUUGCUUUGAAUGCUGCAUACUGAAUGAAAGGAAGUCAGGAUUUCAAAUAANNNNNNNNNNNNNNNNNNNNNNNNNNNNNNNNNNNNNNNNNNNNNNNNNNNNNNNNNNNNNNNNNNNNNNNNNNNNNNNNNNNNNNNNNNNNNNNNNNNNNNNNNNNNNNNNNNNNNNNNNNNNNNNNNNNNNNNNNNNNNNNNNNNNNCCCUCUCUACUCUUUCGCACAUGCUAUGCGGCUGAAAUGAGGAUACCAUGCCAAGUUUCAACAUUUUCAGAGUUCAUUUUGUAGUGAUUUUCAAUUUCACGGUCAUUUAGCUCUCAAAACAAAUCGGUAAAUGACUGAAAAACAACAAAUGAUGUCAGAACAUGUCGGAAAUUGAUGACGUCGCUUUGAAUGAUGCAUAUUGAAUGCAAAAGAAGUUGGGAUUUCAAAUAAGUAUAAAAACCAUUGGAGUGCCCGUGUAACAGAUGAGUUCUCGUCCGAAACCUUGAUACUCCGAAAGAGAUUGUCCAGGUUGUACAUGAAGUGCGUCUAGUUUUUGCCGUGACCCUCUCUACUCCUUCGCACAUGCUAUGCGGAUGAAAUGAUGAUACCGUGCCAAGUGUCAACAUUUUCAGAGUUCAUUUUGUAGUGAUUUUCAAUUUCAUGGUUAUUUAGCUCUCUAAACAAACCGGUAAAUGACUGAAAACAGCAAAUGAUGUCAGAACGUGUUGGAAAUUGAUGACGUCACUUUGAAUGCUGCAUACUGAAUGCAAAAGAAGUCGGGAUUUCAAAUAAGUUUAAAAAACAUUGGAGUGCCCGUGUAACAGAUGAGUUCUCAUCCGAAACCCUGAUACUCCGAAAGAGAUUGUCCAGUUUGUACACGAAGUGCGUCCAGUUUGUGUCGUGACCCUCUCUACUCUUUCGCACAUGCUAUAAGGGUGAAAUGAUGAUACCAUGCCAAGUUUCAACAUUUUCAGAGUUCAUUUUGUAGUGAUUUUCAAUUUCACAGUCAUUUAGCUCUCUAAACAAAUCGGUAAAUGACUGAAAAACAGCAAAUGAUGUCAGAACGUGUUGGNNNNNNNNNNNNNNNNNNNNNNNNNNNNNNNNNNNNNNNNNNNNNNNNNNNNNNNNNNNNNNNNNNNNNNNNNNNNNNNNNNNNNNNNNNNNNNNNNNNNNNNNNNNNNNNNNNNNNAAGAAGUUGGGAUUUCAAAUAAGUUUAAAAAACGUUGGAGUGCCCGUGUAACAGAUGAGUUCUCGUCCGAAACCCUGAUACUCCGAAAGAGAUUUCCACGUUGUACACGAAGUGCGUCCAGUUUUUGCCGUGACCGCCUCUACUCCUUCGCACAUGCUAUGUGGCUGAAAUGAUGAUACCAUGCCAAGUUUCAACAUUUUCAGAGUUCAUUUUAUAGUGAUUUUCAAUUUCACGGUUAUUUAGCUCUCUAAACAAACCGGUAAAUGACUGAAAAACAGCAAAUGAUGUCAGAACGUGUUGGAAAUUGAUGACGUCACUUUGAAUGCUGCAUACUGAAUGCAAAAGAAGUCGGGAUUUCCAAUAAGUUUAAAAAACAUUAGAGUGCCCGUGUAACAGAUGAGUUCUCGUCCGAAACCCUUAUACUCCAAAAGAGAUUGUCCAGGUUGUACACGAAGUGCGUCCAGUUUUUGCCGUGACCCUCUCUACUCUUUCGUACAUGCUAUGCGGGUGAAAUGAUGAUACCAUGCCAAGUUUCAACAUUUUCAGAGUUCAUUUUGUAGUGAUUUUCAAUUUCACGGUCAUUUAGCUCUCUAAACAAAUCGGUAAAUGACUGAAAACAGCAAAUGAUGUCAGAACGUGUUGGAAAUUGAUGACAUCGGUUUGAAUACUGCAUACUGAACGCAAAAGAAGUCGGGAUUUCAAAUAAGUUUAAAAAACAUUGGAGUGCACGUGUAACAGAUGAGUUCUCAUCCGAAACCCUGGUACUCCGAAAGAGAUUGUCCAGUUUGUACACGAAGUGCGUCCAAUUUUUGCCGUUGCCCUCUCUACUCUUUCGCACAUGCUAUGCGGGUGAAAUGACGAUACCAUGCCAAGUUUCAACAUUUUCAGAGUUCAUUUUGUAGUGAUUUUCAAUUUCACGGUCAUUUAGCUCUCUAAACAAAUCGGUAAAUGACUGAAAAACAGCAAAUGAUGUCAAAACGUGUUGGAGAUUGAUGACGUCGCUUUGAAUGCUGCAUACUGAAUGCAAAAGAAGUUGGGAUUUCAAAUAAGUUUAAAAAAUAGUGGAGUGCCCGUGUAACAGAUGAGUUCUUGUCCGAAACCCUGAUACUCCAAAAGAGAUUGUCCAAGUUGUACACGAAGUGCGCCCAGUUUUUGCCGUGACCCUAUCUACUCUUUCGCACAUGCUAUGCAGCUGAAAUGAUGAUACCAUGCCAAGUUUCAACAUUUUCAGAGUUCAUUUUGUAGUGAUUUUCAAUUUCACGGUCAUUUAGCUCUCUAAACAAAUCUGUAUAUGACUGAAAAAUAGCAAAUGAUGUCAGAACGUGUUGGAAAUUGAUGACGUCGCUUUGAAUGUUGCAUACUGAACGCGAAAGAAGUCGGGAUUUCAAAUAAGUUAUUAAAAAUAAAAAAGAGGUGCAAUGCUGGUUAAUUAGCUUCAAGCCUUUCGGAAUAGUGUAGACCGCACUGCACAUAGCUCCGUGCAAUCUAUGCUAUUCCAAAAGGCUUGAAGCUAAGCAACGUACAGGUGAGCAUUGCACCUCUCCUUCAUCGUCUCUGCACUCGCGGCUUAUAAACCGUUCCUACUGCCUCUCUCUUGGCGAGGUGGGACUAAAAAUCAGCUUACUAAGAAACUCUAGUACCGGUUCAUGCCUUGAACCGGUACUAAAGGUGUUCGUGGGGCCCCAGCCUAACCACAACCCGACACAGCCUCAUUAGUAUCGGUUCGUGGUAUGAACUGGUACUAAAGGUUGCCCACGAACCGGUACUAAUGAUGUCCGCCCGCCUAGCCGUUGGAACCGGCACUAAUGGACACAUUAGUGUCGGCUCAAAUUCAAACCGGCACUAAUGUGCUUCACAUUUGACCCUUUUCUACUAGUGGGAAGACUCCAUGAUAUCCGCUCCAGCUUCGUCUUCAUAAUCAUCAUCACUAUCAUCGGGGUCGGAGUCGGUGUCGUCAAUGAUGAUGUAGCAAUCACACACACAGUACUCGAAGGAUUUAUAACAGAGUAGCAAUCACACACUUAUUACAUCGAACGUCUCCAAAGAGAACUUAUUACAAUAAAUAUGGCUUAAGGCCAUCUAAUACGAUAACAGCGAAAGACUUGGAAGAUAAAGUGAGUCCAUCAACUCCAAUGGCAUAGCUGAGUGCAUGACAACCGACCUAUCACGUCUUACUCCUCGUCUGAAAAGUCUGCAACAUGAUACGUUGCAGCCUGAAAAUGGGUCAGCACAUGGAAUACGCUGGCAAUGUAACACAGUAGAGCAAUGAAUAGAUAAAUUCUAUCACUACAUGCAUAUGUGGCUGGUGGAGGCUCUAUGGUUUUUGUGAAAAGCCAAUUUUUCCCUAAAACAAAGGAAAACAUUUUAUUUAACUAUCAUGAUAGUUGAAACAUUGAGAGUGGUACCCCCAUCUCAAUCCUAAUUAAAAGUAAUUAUCAUCCCAGCAAAUUAAAUUAGAGUGAUGAGAUACAGUAGGAUAAUCCAAGUACUAGAUACUCAAGAUGUCCAUAACCGGGGACACGGCUAACCAUGAUUAGUUUGUACACUCUGCAGAGGUUUGCGCACUUUUCCCCACAAGACUCGAUCUCCUUCAUUGGAUUUCUCGGACUACAAGGUGUUUGAGAAACGGAUGACCGAGACACAGUCUUUCAGAAGCAUUAAGUCUUUACUUCGGAUGGACAGUUACACCUACUUUCCCUCUACAUCUGCUAGCCCACCAUUGAAAGAGGUCACACAACAUACUCAACUAUGCUAGAGCCCAUAAUAGCUUGUGGCUGCACAUCGAAGUUUCUAGCAUGAAUAAUCUUAUGAUCCCUUUGAGCCUGGGUGGCGGACCGUAGGAGGAUCACACGGUAUAUCCCCGGGAUCUCCUAGGACAACACUGGUAUAUCCCCAGGUGCCCAAAACAAGCAAUCCACCCAGAUGUGUAUUAAAGUUGCCACCUUAAAUUGAACCAUUAAUUAAAAAUCUCACAUCUGUCAUGGAUACACUCAAACCCAAUCCAAGUCUACGAGCAUAGCAUAGCAAUAUAAGCAUAACGUAGAAGUAACUCCCAGGGGUUUGAUAAUAAAACGGGUAAUAGGUUCUACCUCAUCAUCUACUUCCCAAUACCCAGAAGUUAAAAGAUCCUACUCAUGCAAUGUUUGGGGAUUGAAACUAAUGCAUAAAAACUAGGUAUGAAAGAAGUAUGAUCAAUGUGUUACUUGCCUUGCUGAUGAUCUGCAAAACCUAGAGACUCGUAGUAGCACGCUUCGCACUCUGGGUGUUCUAUCGCAAACAAACAAUAGCAUACAUAAGCAAUCAAGCAAAGAUGCAUGGGUAAAUCUCAAAUAAGAAGAUCUAACCAGAAAGUUCAACUUAAGAACUCUGGUUUGCAAAAAGAAUCAAAUCAAACGGAGCAACAAAACACAAACUGCAAAAGAAGCAAGAUAUGAUUACUAAUCUGGACUAAAGUCAAAUUUUACUGUAUCAAAAUCUUGUUCAAGUUGGUUAAAUGGAAAGAGGGUUUGGAGACGAAGAUCCAGGCGCUUGAAUCGCCUGAUUCUGAUAAGCGAGCAAAAAGAUAAACUAAAACGAAAAUCGGGUCAGAAAUCGCGAUCGAAAAUAAUCGCGAAAACCCUGGAAAAAGAAAAACAAAUGAACAGACUAACGAAUGAACGUUCGCUGUCUGUGAGUAAUGGGUGAACAGCGUUCGUUAAAACGAACGAACAUCCGCAAAAUAAGUAAACCGACGGAAACCCGAUCUAAUAAAUUAAACCGGAAAAAUAAAAAAAUGGAUCUAGAUCUAGGGUUUACCAAAAUAAACCGAUGAAAAAAAAUGGCGGCGGUGGCUAACUCCGGCGAAGUCGGCGGCGGCGGUGGCUGGCGGCGGCGUGGCGCGGGAACCGAGGCGGCGGCGGCUACAGUUUCGGGCACGGGCGGCGGCUGGGCUGGGGGUCGAGGUGGGCUGCGGGGCGGUGGCUGGCGCCUUAUAAAGGGGGGGCUGGGGAUUCCUUGUUUCAAUAUUUCAAUUAUUUUGGAGAAGUCAUAUUAUCUCCUCUCAUGUAUUUUAAUAUGAAAUAUUUUUGGAGGGAAAAUUUAAUUAUAACCAAAAUGAUCCUUGUUUCAAUAUUUGAUAGAAUUCAAAUAUGAAAAUCGUGAAAUCCCCAACUCUCUCCGAGGGUCCUUGAGUUGCUUAGAAUUUCGAGGAUCGCAAAACGGAAUGCAGCAAAAAUAUGAUAUGCAUGAAUGACCUAUGUAUAACAUUCCAAAUUGAAAAUUUAGGAUGUUACACCCCAUGACAUCAUUUCCUGCCCCAUCAACGUCCUCCUCCUCCUCAUCAUCUUCACUUAUCCACCGAGUAUGGCCAUCCAUGAAACCAUGCAUGAGCAGGUGCGCCUUAAAUGCACCACCCUCAAAGAGGUCGAGCAUGACUAUUCAUUUGAAUUUUCGACACGGACAUACAACAUCCUUCAGUCUUUUUCAUACAUGUCGUCCACAGCGGAUUGCCAGUAUCUUUCCACCAUCCUUCCAUUGACCUUCAUGAUCACCUGCGCGCGGAGAAAAUAUUAUAACCACGUAUGCAUGCAUGGAUCAAAUUCAUACAAAAAUUCGGCAUGACCUUCCCUAAACAUAGGACAUAUUGAGUUUGUCCGAAAUUCGCCGAAACGGAAUUGAAUCGACAUUUCGAGAAAACAUAGGCAACUCAUGUCACCCACAUUAUUUCAUCAAAUACACAAUGUAGGCAACUCAAAUUAUGCCACACACAUAUAGUUUCAGUCCUAUCCACACAAACACUUUUUUUGCUCACCUAUGUGUCGAGAGGGAUAUCGAGCACCUUUCUUCUUAAUUACCUAGUAGCUCUAGAUAUAUAGCUCUAACUAGCUAGCUAGCUAGGGAGAGAGUGGGAGGAGAGGGAGAGGAGAGGGAAGGCAUUAACAGAAGGGNNNNNNNNNNNNNNNNNNNNNNNNNNNNNNNNNNNNNNNNNNNNNNNNNNNNNNNNNNNNNNNNNNNNNNNNNNNNNNNNNNNNNNNNNNNNNNNNNNNNNNNNNNNNNNNNNNNNNNNNNNNNNNNNNNNNNNNNNNNNNNNNNNNNNNNNNNNNNNNNNNNNNNNNNNNNNNNNNNNNNNNNNNNNNNNNNNNNNNNNNNNNNNNNNNNNNNNNNNNNNNNNNNNNNNNNNNNNNNNNNNNNNNNNNNNNNNNNNNNNNNNNNNNNNNNNNNNNNNNNNNNNNNNNNNNNNNNNNNNNNAAUGGAGGGGGUGGUGGUUGGAGGGCAAAGAAGAGGGGUAGGGAGGGCUCUAAUGGAGGCGUGGUGGAGGGGCAAAGAAGAGGGGGGUGGUUGAGGGCUAGAGGGGCAGGAGGGGGAGCAUUGAAAGGAACAAGCAAGUUGCAAGGAAAGGGGAAGAAAGGAAGGGGGGAAUAAGAGAGGGGAGGAAGAAGGGGGAAAGGUGGUAGGUGGCUGGCGUCCAUAGCAGUAGCGUGGGUCACCUAUGCAUGCUACUGCUAUGGGAGCCUGCAAAAUAUCUACGGCUAGUGUUGCACUACCUAUAGUGCAGGCUAGGAAAACACGCUACUGGUAAAAUGUUACACAUAGAAGAAAUAGCAGUAGCACGUUUAGGUAAACAUGCGCUAUAGAUCCUAAACUAACAGUAGCGCCGGUUAGACGACUAGUGCUGCUAAUAUUUAUUGAUCAGGGGGUGUAGUGUGUUACACUUAGCAGUAGCGUGGUACUAGAAAACAAGCGCUACUACUAAUAAAUAUCAGUAGCGCUCUUUCUAGCCAGUGCUACUACUAACUACUAGUAGCAUAGGGUCAUAAACAAAUGCUACUGGUAAACUUCUAUCUAUAAGCAUUUUCCUAGUAGUGUGAGAGAAUCAGGGCAGCGGUAGGAGUUAGAGACUUUGAGAAAAUCCCAGGAUACACUGAAAUAACAUACACAGAUCUAAACAUUUACAGAGUUAUGCCAACUUUGGAGAAGGUGGUUGAGAUGGGUUGGUAUGGUGAUCAUAAGAGACAGCAUCUA
rnacentral:lncRNA from 1 species